UUCAUCAGGCUUCAUGCAAGAACACAAGAACUUCCAUGCCACUUGAUAUGUCAUCAGUUGCAUGUCUAGAAGCUGAAUUAGAAGGAAGAUACAUCUGGUUGUUAAUUUUACACGUGAAAACGGGCAAUAGCCAAAAAUUUCUAUCAGGUAAUACAGGUUUUCUAUGACGUGCUAAUUUGUUCCCCUGAAUUCUGAAACAUAUCAAGAGAAGAGGAGAAUUGAAGGUAUGACAACUUUGUUGAGUGCCAAAUUAUGUGGAUAGUAGAUGCAGUCCGAACCAGUACAGGCACUAAGCAAUAGACAGGUGGAAGGGUUACUCCUGGGAAUUUCCAUAUCGGCAUUUAAUUUCUUCCCCUUCUAUAAGCCUCUCUACUGCAUCUGAAGGAAGGCCAACUAAUCCCAGCAUCUUCUCCCAGACUUUGUAAGAAGUUUCAACAUUAUGGGCUUCUUCAGAAGCAUUUGUGGGACGACAAUCGUGGGAAAUGUAUGCACACACUGGCCAAUCAUCUGUUUUCAGCAUUUCACAAUACUCGGAAAUUUGAGGAUCUGUAGCUGCAAACAAGGUACUGCGAGAGCCUGCAGCAACCAACCAAGUUGAGUAAUAUGCAUGGGGAUCAUUAGAUAAAUAAUUAAACUGCACACACCAAAUAACUAAGUGACUGAAUAAAAGAAGGGGCCACUAGAACUUUCCCCAGGACCAACAUCAUAGGGAUGCAGCAGCAAACAAGAAUGCACACAUAGCUUGGUCUUUCUCUCUCCUCCCAUUUGAUCUUUCUUGAUGAGAUGCACUCCUGCCCUCCUCCCUCUUAUACUACCUGCUUAUUUGACUAAUAUAAACUUGCAUGGUCCUUCAAGCUUCUUUAUAUGCUUGUUUACACAUAUUUUCUUUUGGUCAAAUUAUUCUUGUUUGAGUUGUGUAGUCUUAUUUACCUUCUCUAAAAGUAUCAGUUCACAACUGCAGAAAAUUAUCAAAAGAAGUUAUAUUCAAGUUUCUGGAAUAUUAUGCUGCCGUACUAGGCAUACAAGGAUAGCAAGUUUUCUGCAUCGUCUUGUCUAGUGGUCAUUCUUCCACAUGGCUACCCAAUUGGUGAUGAGUGACAACCAAGAUGAGAUGCCCAGAAUGAUCGAAUGAAGAAUGCAUGGUAUUGGAAUUGUGCAUUGAGACUUCAACGAAGCUUGUGUAAGGUCAUUACUUUUUUUUCCUUUUUUGAUAACGUCAUUAACAUUUAACUAGGAACAAACUCCAUUGGAUGGCAAAUUGGAGCUGGUAUGGAAUUCGAGCUGUGUAGUUCAACAAGCCUAACUGCCUUAACUCAAGGAACCCUCAACCCUCCACCAGGUGUUACUGAAAAGUGGAAACUGGUCCAAUGGCAAGAAAAUGGAAACUAUAUAGUCAAAGCCUCAAUACUCUACAGCGAGUUACGAUACAUUUUAUUAGCUUUUCUUUACUGCAAGAACAUGCAAUUUACACACUGAAUCUUUAAACCAGAAAAAAUUGGGACUUCAGUAUAACGUACCUUCUUCAGGAUUGAAUAUAAAACAGGGUAUCAGACGAUAACCAACUUGUAGAUACUGAGGAAGAUCCCUCGCCUGUAAUUUUUAUAUGUGCAAACUUCUAAAAUAGUAUCGUAUAAAGGAAUGAAAAGAAUGGAAACUGAAAGGAUGAAAAUCAACAACAACAACAACAGACCGAGUGUAUUCCCACAAAGUGAGGUCUGGGGAGGGUAAAAUGUACACAGUCCAUACCACUACCUCCGAAGAAGUAGAGAGGUUGUUGCCGGUAGACCCUCGGCCCAGGCUAGAGAAUAGUACACAAGGUCGUAGUGAAACAUGAAGCAGGAUGGAUGACAUAAGAUAAAUACGGAAUAAGCAACAAUAUAAUAGAUAUCGUAGAAAUACGAGUAAUUCGAAAUAAGAAGUAAGCGAUAGGACACCCACCUUGCAGUAACAUACACUCACAGACCAAAGACACCCCCACACACAAACUCUACUGACUAGAGGCUCCUGCUAAUGGACACAGUCCUAUGCUUAGUACCCCGGCUACACAAGAGCUCUCCUAACACCUUGCUACAACCCACACUCACACUAGCCUUCUACCCUUAUCCGCGACCUCCACACCUUCCUAUCUAGGGUCAUGUCCUCAGUAAGCUUAAGUUGCUCCAUGUCAUGUCUAAUCACCUCACUCCAGUAUUUUUUUGGCCUACCUCUACUCCUUCUAAAGUCAUCCAACACUAACCUCUCACACCUACGAACUGAGGCAGUCGUGCCCCUCCUCAUCACAUGCCCAGACCAUCUCAGUCUUCCUUCUCGCAACUUGUCCUCCACCGAAGUCACUCCCAUCUUCUCCCUGAUAGUCUCAUUCCUAACUCUAUCCCCUCUAGUAAGUCCACACAUCCAACGCAACAUUCUCAUUUCCGCCACCUUCAAUCGUUGAAUGUGGGAGUCCACACAUCCAAAAAUUUAGAACUCUAGCUCAAACAUAUUUUGCAAUAUUACAUUGCAUAUUAAGGCUUGGAUCCGAUUCAAACAGGUUUUUUCUGUAGGACAGUUACUCUCGAGUAGGUCCAAGAUGCUUGAGAUGAGAGGAUUUAGCAGUCUAGCAUAGGGGAACACAUUACAUGACCUAGCUACUGGGAUGAACUUGAAACAAUAGUUUAGGAAAACAUCCAAAGAAGAUGGAUUGUUGCAUUUUAAAUAACAGAGUUGUAGUAAAUUUAACCAUUCAAAUGAUUCUCAUGAUCAGAUUAUCCAGUCUGAAUACCCUCUUUCCUGAUCUUACAAGCUCAGAAUAAGUCAAAGGAUAUUUCAGAAUUGAAAUAUGAUUUUGAUAUGCAUGACACAAAUUUGAUAAAAGAGCCUUUACCUGCCUAACAAUACCCCAUCAUGUUUCAAAGAAUAUAUGCUCCCCUAAAGCAGAGGACUAAGACGGUAUUAGUUUUAUUUCCCUAAAGGUGCCCAUAAAAAAAGGUUUGCGGUGUAGCUAUACCAAUGCACGAAGCAAGAGUUUUCUUAUGAAGAACACAUGAAACAAGAGCAAUACUCUUCAUAUGCAAGAAUCUGUAGUUCCUUACAUACCAUGGAGAUGCAUAUUGGUAUUGUGUUAUGAAGUGAUCCAACAUAACAAUUUUCCACUGGCUUAGUAGUCAAACUUGAAGAUCAAGAAGCCUCAAGGUUAGUCAGUAAAAAACAACUACAAAUUAAAAAGCCCUAAAUUGUUAUAUCUUCACAGAUUCAAGAACUUAGCCUUAAAAUAAUUGUAAAGUCUAUACAUCCUGGGGCCUUGCCGUACUGUACCAAGAACAUUUUUGAGGUCAUUUACAAACUUCCAGACAUCUAAAUAAUGUUUCAGUUGGGUAGUAAGAGCAAGUAUAUUUUCAUCGUUAGGCGCAUUACAUAUCAUGCUAUAUGUAGAUAAAUAUUUUUGGGUUCAAGACUUUCUUUUCUAGAUUAUACUAGUCAUUCUUUUCGGAUUGGAAAUUAAUUACUCCCUCCAUCCCAAUUUAUGUGGCACUUUUCACUUUCCGAGAGUCAAUUUGACUAAUCUUUGAAACUAAAUUAGAUUAGAUCUACUCAAUAUUUUAAAAACAAAAAUUUAGACGUUCAAAAACUAUACGAGAAGUACUGUAAAUUGCAAUUCUUCUCAUGUCAAUAUGAUUAAAAAUGUAUCUUAAGAUGUUGGUCAAAGCUUGCUUAGUUUGAAUCUCAAUAAGCAAAAAUAUUUUCAACAUCAACCUCCCAAAAGAUCUUCUCUUCCUCGUCUAAGCCCGUUUCCGAAGCGGAGGCACUAAUAAUGUUCAAAGUAGAUCCUCUAAUGACCAACUUAAUCAACAUCAACUUAUCGUCGACCCUCUUAACCUCCAGCACUUGCCUCUUAAGCUCUUCAUCCACUAAUAUGCCCACCCCAUUUUUAUGCCUCACGCUACCAGAGUAUCACAACUUAUAUUCGUCCGCAUCCCUCGCGUUAGAACCUACCCAUUUGUCUCCUGGACACAAGCUAUACUAAUCCUCCUCUUUCUAAGAAUCUUCACGAGCUCUAUGGACUUACCUUGAAGAGUCCCUAUGUUGCAAGACUCAAUUCUCAAUCUAAAGGCUCCUUUAUCCCACCUAACCUUACUACCCCCGCCCCCGAUUCUGAACUUAACCCUAGACUCGACCCCAACCCAACACCAAACUCAAACCUCGACCUCACCCUGGGUCCCGACCCCAAACUAUGACAUGGCCGUAGUAUACCAUUGACCACCACCCCAUUACUUAAUAAGAGGCAAAAAAAAUAAGAAGGCGCGCAAAUAGGUAAGGCUAACAAGACACAAUAGUAACAACGAGUGAAAUAACAGGAAAUAAUCAACAAAACAAUUACAAAACAAAGUGCUAAUAUUUUGCACUCUAGUUGAAAAAAAUAAAAUAAAUUAUUCCGGGGUGGGUUUAUGCUGGGUUCAAAAUAGCAAAUUAUGUUAUGCUGGGAAGGGUGGAUUGAAGUUUUCGCAGGUUUGCCCACAACCGCACCAAUUCCAUCCCUUCAGUCUCACCUUAAUUUUAUCACUCAACUAUGGAAACUAACUGUAGUUUGAUGUAAAUAUGUAGUAUAAAAACGUGACGCGAGAAAUGAAAUUAAAAACUAACAAAUAAGUCACAUAAAGUGAUCAUCGUCCUUUCCUUUUGGUAUCUGUAUGUAUAAUCUUUCUGUGAUGCUACUUUAUUUUUGACCAAUCCAACAUACAACAACAACAACCCACUAUAUUCCCACAAAGUGGGGUCUGGGGAGGGUAGAGUGUACGCAGUCCAUACCACUACCUCUAAAGAGGUAGAGAGGUUGUUUCCGAUAGACCCCCGGCCCAAGAUACAAGGCAGUAUAUAAAAGCAUCAAAAGCAUAGAACCUGAUAAAAUAACAUAGGUACGACAUCCAAAAAAAAUUGUACAUUGUCAAACAAAGGACACCAGCGUCCACCUAAUUACUGACUACGACUCAUCCACACCCUUAGCCCUCUAUCCUAAUGUUUCUCCUCCAUAUCUUCAAAUAUAAUUAAAAAGCUUGCAUCUUUUUUCGGAAAAUUAGUUAACAUCACUUCCUACCAUUGGUUAUUCAUUUGCUUCCAGAAGUUCAUUUAUGCCACUUCAUUAACAUUAGAUAAAAUUAUGUUAAUUUCGAGUUAACCCUAAAGGCUCAUUGAAUGAGAAAUGGUGAUUCGGUUUCAACUCAUUUGCAACCUCAUCGUAUAAAUAAAAUGGAAGAGAUACCAAAUGUACAGAGCAGAAACAUCCUAAAUGUCUAACCUCAGGCUCAGUACUAGCCAUACUUUCGCCCUCUCGUGAAUUCAGUUUCUGCUAUAAUAUACAAGCUAGUGAACAUAUAUCCAGAAAUAAUGAUAGGAUUGGCAGCUCCCAGCUACAAAAUAUCGCCCAACCAACCUUGAUAGUCCGAGUGCUGUCACAACUUAAUGUUCUUCUCUUUUCCUACAAAGAUGACCAUUUAAACAAGCUUUAGAAAUAUGACACACGUAUCUAAGGAUCAAGCAUGUGUAGAACAGAACAGCAAUCUCACCAAAUAUAUUUGUUUUAAGGGGGAACCUUAAAGAUGAUCCCUUCAGUUUUACAUCUCUGAGGUGCUUGCUCCUGGUUGGUUUCUCUGCUUUUGCCAGACCAUUGCUGCUUUCUCCAGCUGAGGGAACAUUUCUUUUCUUAACCUUUUCAUGGUACACAGCAGGUGGUGCAAGCCUUAGCUGAGGGAUAUUCUCUAUUUGCACUGACUGGUUGCCUUUUUGAAGAUUAAGGAGGAGGUCAAACUGUAUAAUUUCACAUGUGAUCAGACGAGCCUAGAUUUUUGGGGUGCAGGGUGGGGACAUGGGAGUAUCAAGCAUAAAAUUAUUAAAAGUGAAUUUUCAUACCCUUGAAAUUGACUGAAGUCCGUAAGAGUUGUCGAAACCAUCAUUCUCGUGCAGAUAUGGACCAGUCAUCCCAUUUGUUUGCUGGGAUUUUGAUAUAGACUUCACCAAUCCAUUCUCCAAAAGGAUUGAUUUACUUCUCAACUUCUCGGAAUUCUUUCUUGGCAUACAAACAGGACAUCCAGCUGAGUUACCCUUGAAUGAUGCUUCACUUUCCUGAGGUUCGCAUUGCAGAUGUGUUGCAUGACCACAACUAAAAAUUUGAAUGCCAGAAGCAGAGAAAUCUUUUGUGAGGGGACAGUUACAAAUGCAACAUAGGAGGCUCCGAGGUGCAAAUCCAUGAGAAGCUCCUCUCUUCAGUAAGCUCAACGAGGAAUAUGUAUCAUCUUCAAUCAAAGAUUUAGCUGUAUCCUGUAACAGUGAGUGGAAGAAGAGUCAAGUCUCAUGAUAAUACUUGUCAGAGAUUGGUAAAGUUACUUUAAGGAGUGGAAAAAGAAGGAAAACUCUGGAAACCUAGUAGGCCUUUACAGGAUAAAAUGGCAAGUGAAAAGUUUAACGCAGUGAUAUUAGUUUGCUGAUAUGAACUUCAUUGCACUAAUUCCAACGAAAAUUACCAAUUUUUUUAGUUUUUUUUUUUCUUUUUCAAAUUAGCUGUUCUCGUUAGAAGUCAAGAAUGAUGAUUGUGCUGCAUCUCCAGCUACAAAGACAAAAUAAGGCAAGUUCGUGGUAAAGGAUCACUCCCAGGUUUUCUAAAGAAUAACUUACACAACGUCGUUGCAAAAUCAACUUCCACAUUGAGAUUCUGAUACAAGUGCGGCUAUGAAGAUCAACGUGUGUACAAGGACAGCAAAGGAUCAUCCUAGGAAGUGCAAUGUUGAGACAUGAGAAGGAUCAAAGACAAACCAAAGCCGCCCUAUUUGCUCAUUUGUUACACUAGAGGGGCGCACCCUUUUCAUUAAGGGUCUUUUGGGCAUUUCACCUUUUAUGUAAUAAGGAGACUAUAUAUAGUUUAUUAUUAGGGAUUUUCUUUACUUAGUUGAUUAUUGUUGUAAGUUUUGACAUUUGAAACAUCAAAGUCCUCUCUCUACUUGAGGCAAACCAAAACUUGUAACUAGGAUAGCAAUUCAAGGGUGGAAUCUCUUGUGAUUGCUUGUUUUUGAGAAACCUUGGCGCUUGAGUGGUGGAAUCCUCUCUUGUGUCAUCGUAAGAGUUAGGUGAUCAUGUGUGGAGGUGUUAGGGGUCUUAGAGCUUAAUGUACUCUUUGGUUACUAGGAUUUACACCACCUUUGUCUAACCAUCUAUCCCUUUACUUUUUGUUGUCAUCUUGUAGUAGUUGUGUCUUGUCCUCUUGUAAUCGUUGGUUGUUGUUAUUGUAAGCUUAUUGUUCAUCACAUUAUUGUAGUGUUGUUGCUAUUUUGGUGUGGUUAUACACGUUAUUAUGUCUCCAUUGUUGAAGCAUUCUCGAAUUUUCUUUUCAUUCUUGUGUUGUCAUUCUUGGCCGAGACUUGGUUCCUUGGGCUCUCGGUUUGUGAUGUGUUUAGUUACAUUUUUGGGGAUGUUUUGUGUCUUCUUGGGGUUGUAAGGUAUCAGAUUCCAAACAUAAAAGUCUAAAUAUUUGUAAUCGGGAUUCAAGCAACAGAAAAAGUUACUUCCAAGGGAUAUCACAGAUGCAAGAAUACAAAACGGAAGAAAAAGGCAACUCGUGCACAAGAGGACAUUUAUUUUUUACACUUUCUCAUAUUUUCAUCAAUUAAUCAAAGGUAUCCUAGUGAGAAAUACAGAUAUAAAGGUUUAGCACAUUGAAUAACCAGAUAUGGGAAUUCUUUCUACAACCAAUAAAGAAUAAGAUGUGGGCCAACAGAAUGCAUUCAGACACCAAACAAGGGAAAACCUAUUUAACAAAAGCAAUUUACAAUUUUAUAAAUAGAGAAUGGAUACUGUUCAAUGGAAAUCUUAUUGGCACACCAUACUUAAAAAAUGGAGAUGUGAAUAAGAAACAUAAAAGAAAACCUACCAAAAUCCGCCUCUCAAAAUCAUAUGUUCCAAGCAUCCCCAGUAUAGUAGGUUUGAAAUCACCAAAUUCCUGCGUCUCAUUAUCUGAAAGAAGCUUUAAUAUGAUCCUUGGGAGGCAUACAUAUCCAAUCAUUCCUUCAACAAUCUCUUUGAUAAACGCAGAGAUCAAUUUCCUGAGGAUGUGAGCGUUCCUAUGAGAUUUUGACACCUUCCAUUGAAUUUUGCAAGCUGGCUCGCCUUCUUGCGCACGUUCUUCAUCUUUAUAUCUUAUUAUACUAUGAUCAUGUGAAUCCACCAAAGGCUCACAAAAACUGUACAAGGAAUUAAAAGAGGGAAUCAACAAGCAGGUGAUGCAUAUGAUUUUUUAAAAUAAAGUAAAUGUACUUUUAGAAGAUCUCAGAUCAAACAAAAUGUAUUUUUAGAAGAUCUCAGAUCAAACAAACAUAUACAGAGCAUACUUAUUUUGGUGAGAAUAAUACUUGUAGAUGGAAAGUUUUUAAAUUUGGGAACAUGUGGAACUUUGAAAAAUAUAAGCUUUUCCAAUUCUACAAGUUGUUUUAUUGAAUUGAAUUUCUAGUGUAUGCAGCACAUUAAGUAUUUAGAAAAGUUAAAGAGCUUGUUCUAUUUUCAAUUUCAGUGAAAUAGCUAAACAGGGAGAUUCCUAAUUAAGGAUCUUAUGAACUCAUAAACCUACUGAGAUGCAACAAUUGAUUAGGGAAACUAAGACCAGAAUCAUUAUUGACACCUAUAAUUAUUAGUAUUCAUGAUAUAAUAAAUUACUAUUUUCUGUAUUCAGCAAAAAUCUGUGGGCUGUUAUCUCAAGUAGUCAUGCCGGCUGCAAUCUCCAGUAGACGUUUAUUUCUAGACUGGAGUUCAUUGCAGUUUCUCAGGGAAUACGUACCCCAGUCUACUAACAUGUCGAUAAUUUCACAUUAAGUUGGAGAUCAUUGUUCAGGAGGUGUAUAGCCCAAUACCAACAGGAAUACAAACCUAUGGAAGUAAGUGAAAUAUGGCACUAAAUAUUUCAAGCGACCUAAAGGGAAGCAGUUGCCACUAGAAUUUUUUUGACAAUGGUAAAUUUAUUGACACUAGAAUUUGAAGUGUUGCUAUUGUGAAACUGGGCGAACAUGGAUAGUUAAGGUAAACAAAUAAAGGCAAUUGGCUUACGAAUCAAGCAAUUGAAACCACAGACUCUCUGCUUCAUCCAGAUCCAAGCGGGGGCUAUUCCUCUGGCACAGUCCAAUACAAGUGCGCAAAAUCUCUAGUAUGUCAAUGACCUGCAACAAGAUCCAAUGUUGAAGCACUAGACCUAACAAGACAAAUCAUAUCAUGAAAGAGGAUAUUAGAGGGAAAAUACCUCUUUAUUGCUUAAAAUAGCUUUGAAAUGUUCCAGAGCCGUAUCACAACGUUCACUUUCAACAGCAGUAUCAAGCAGGAUGAAUUUUUCAUUGAGUGAAGAUAUAAGAAGCAGAAGGGCACUUCCGAUGUCACCAACCCUUUCUAACAAGAAAGCAGCUGCAUCGAUAACUCCAUACUCUUGGCAUAUAUGCAAGCAGUGUUCCACCCUAUAGCCUUCGGAAGUCUCCAAGAAUCUGAGGACUGACUUACGCUCGUACCUACAUAAUAGCUACAUACAAAAAAAUUAUAAGGAAGCCGCUGCACUUAGAUGGCAGUAUAAGACAAAAUUGCAUCAGCAGGACCUAAGUCAGGAUCUCACAACUAAGGCUCUAAAUGGAAGUGACUUCUGAAGCAGACUUCUAAGCAAAAGCUCUAUAUUCUGGUAGUUAUAGUCACAAACAGCAGACUGUUGAACUAAAAAAUUCCUGAUUAAUUUAUCUGGAUCAAUAAAACAGAGAAUAAGAAAACAAACUAAUAUAACUCUUAAAAAAACAGGUGCUGACAAGCAGUCAAUCCUAUCUGUUGGCGGCAAAUGAGAGGGUCCAUGGAAGUACAUCAGUAAGUUGUCUGAUGAAUUUUUUUCUUUUUUGGAUAAAGGUAGUGUUGUAUUCUUCAGCAUUAAGGAGAUGCAGGCUACCAUCAAAACAGAUUUACAGCUUGCUCAAAACUAGAGCAAAAACUUGCUACACCAAAAAACCUAGAAAGAUUUUAUCAAGCAUCCUCUAUGCCCUCCUCUUUACAUUACACCAAAAAAAGAAAGUCCUCAUGCAGUUCCAUUUAAUUUUCUGAACUGAUUCAGCAGUAUUCUCAAAGCAUCUCUUGUUUCUUUCUUUCCAAAUUGUUCACCAUAUGCUGGGGGGAUCCUACUCCACCACUUCUUCUGACUUUUACUCACUCUUCUCCUAGUCCAGCAGCUUAGAACGUCAACAGUAUGUUCUGGCAUAGUCCAUCUAGUUUGCAUCAAGUCCAAGAAUAAUGCCCACAACUGGGAAGUUAUUUUGCAAUGUAGAAACAAAGGAUUAUUUGUCUCAUUUGUUUCAUUACAAAGGGAGCACCAAGAUGCUAUAUGGAAAAGCUUUUCAUGGGUGAGACAGGCCCUUCUAGCGACUAGCCAUGAAAAACAUCUAACCUUGACUGGUACCUUGUUCUUUAAAAUCUUCCCCCAAGGGCCACUAAUCUUCCCUGGUAGAGCUUUCACUUUUUCUUUGGUAAAUAAACAAAUUUUAUUUAAUACCAAAAUGUGCAUACAAUCCUUGGUCAAGAGCAGACCUCCUGAUCAGGAGCAGACCUCCUGUCUCUCAACUAGUAGAUAAAACUAAACUUUGCUAGAUACUAAAGAAUACAUAAGGCUUAGCAAAACACUAUGAAAAAAAACUAUCACGCCUGUCGCCGUUUAGCUCUAGCUUCAAGUCAUGGAUACGUGUUCAGCUGCUGUAGAAUGGCCUUCCAUUGCUGUAGUUAACUGCCUCCGGUAUGCAGAAAAAGAGCUACUUCUCUACACACCCUGUUACGCUCAUAGCGCCCUUGCUGGAAUCUUUGCAUAUUCCGUUCUCUCCAAAUCACAUGUAUCACCACUGCAAAAAUACAACUGGUGAGACUACCCAUGCCCGUCCUCCUCUUUGCCAGGCUAACUACCCAGUUUACCUCCGUUUGCCAGGGACCAAUGGGUUUGUGCACCCCAAUCCACUGUAGAAGUCGUUGCCAAAGCUGUUGUGUGAUACUACAUUCAAAGAAUAAGUGCUCUCUUGUCUCGUCUGCAGCCUGACAAAAUACGCAGGUAGGGGGUACCACUAUACCAAAUUUCAUCAGUCUUUCUAUUGUAGGCAGUCUCUUGUGCAAAGCCAACCAUAAAAAGAAUGUGUUGGGGGUGGAUAGUCGCCUGUUGUGACUCGUCCAGUGCAUUUUUGGGAGUGUUGGAGUUAGGGAGGUGUACAUUUUCUUGAUUAAGAACUUGUUCCCACUUACCGCUGUGCGUAGUCGUCCUACAACUUCACCAUGUAAAGAAUUGAUAUUGAGGAGCAUCUUCCUGGACUCGAUAAUCUUUCUGACAACCCACGUUGCAUUCUUUGGUAUCUCAAAGUUGUCCAACGAUUCCUGCUUCAUAUAGAAUAUGCGAACCCAUUUCACCCACAAGCAGUCCUUUUUGUUAGCCAGAGCCCAAAGUUGUUUCAUUAUUGGAGCCUUAUUCCACCUGAACAUAUUCAGUACAUUUAGUCCCCCUGCUGCUCUGGAUUGACACACCUUUUCCCAAGACACGAGAGCCUUUUUGGAGAUCGCAACUGAACCUGUCCAUAGAAAGGUUCUACAGGAAUUUUCAACAAGUUUUAGGAUUCUCUUGGGGAGCACAAAGAUUUGUGCCCAAUAUGUUAGUAUACCAAAGAUCACUGCUUUUAUAAGUUGCAGCCUCCCUGCAUAAGUGAGUAGCUUUGUUGUCUAACAAGUAAUCCUUUCGACAAUCCUGUCAACAAGAGGCAUGCAUUGCUCCACUGUUAGUUUUUUUUGAGGAUAUGGGCACACCUAGAUACCGGAAUGGUAAGGAGCCCUCAACAAAACCCAGCUCUCUUAGAAUUGCUUGCUCUCCUGAUCUUCAACUCCACUCAUGUAUAUGGAGCUUUUCUCUGUAUUUGCCUGUAGACCUGUCACUUCGGAGAACUUAGAGAAGGCAUCAAACAUCAACUUUACCGAGAGAACAUCUGCCUUACAGAUAAUCAGUAGAUCAUCGCCAAAACAUAUAUGCAUAAUCCCCAACUACCUGCAUCAAGGGUGGAACUUAAACAUAGGAUGAGCAGCUACCACAUUAAGUUCUCUUUGAAGGUACUCCAUUGCGAUCACAAAAAGAUAUGGUGACCUUGGGUCACCCUGUCGUAUGCCUCUUUUCCCUUGAAAUGGUUUGGUAAGACCUCCAUUAAUGACUAGAGAAUACGACACUGAAGUGGCACACUCCAUAAUCCAUUGAAUGAAUUUGAAUGGGAAACCAAGAUUUGCAAGCAUAUUCUUUAGGAAUUCCCACUCAAUCGAGUCAUAGGAUUUGCGUAAAUCCACUUUCAUCACACAUCUUGGCGAGAGUCCUUUCCUACGGUACCAUUUUAAAAGUUCAUGACUAAACAAUAUAUUGUCGAUUAAGCUCCUUCCCUCUAUAAAAGCAGUUUAUGAGGGACUAAUAAUUGUAUUAAUCACACUUUUAAUACGGUUGGUAAGGAUCUUUGUGAUUAGUUUAUCGAAUGUGGUACAACAAGCGAUGGGUCUAUAAUCUUUCACAUAGGUUGGGACUUUAACCUUUGGAGCCAAGGUAAGGGAUGUGCAAAUGAAGGUUUUAAGUAGUUUACCAGAUGAGAAGAAUUCAGCCACUGUAUUCCUCACAUCGACUUUUAUCACGUCACACUGUUGAGUGAAGAACUCUACUGGAUAACCAUCAACUCCAGGGGACUUCUCAUCUCAGCUAGCAUCUCUUUUAGAGCAGCCUGAAUUUCUUCCAUAGUUACAGCUCUAAUCAGGGCACAUUUCUGGGAGUAGGACAGGCAUGGACCUUUACUGAUGAUCUCUGUGUCGGGGCAUGGUAGCUCACUGGUAGAGGUAUCCAUUUGUUGGGUGAAGACAGAUGUGAAUUCCUUCUCGAUCAUAUCAGAUGUAGUCAGUUUAAUGCCCUGUUCUGUAUACACAACAGAUAUAGCCUUCCUGUAAGCUCUUAAUUUGCAUUGAGCAUGAAAAUAACUGGUGUUUGAGUCCCCAUAUUUUAUCCAAGUUGCUUUUGAUUUCUGCCUAAGAGCUUGUCCUCGACAGUACCCCAUUUUAGAAUAUCCUGUUGUACUUGCAUGCCUUUGUCUAUCAAGGACUGAUCUUGUGGGUUGAGUAGCAGAUGACUUUGAACAAUGUUUAGACUUUCCCUGGCUGCCUUCGAUCUCUGAUCAUAGGAAGCCAAAUAAGAGUUCAAUCCCUUAACCUCCAGUACUGAAAUUUUUCCAUCGUUGUUGUGCCUCCAUCUUACUGAGUCAGCUUCCAAAUUUAUGCCCUUAAAAUCGUUUAGAGUCUGCAGCAGAUCAGCUACUUUUCCAAUUUCCCAGUCAUUCAAGAGUCUUCUAAAGCUCAGAUUCCAUCCUUUUUUUUUUAAAACCGGUAACUUAUAUUCCACAGCAUUCAGGGCUAUGCUGGCCACCUCCAAAAGUAAUUACAGAUACGGAAAAUAUGUUAAAAAGCAGAAAUAUUUACAAAGAACCUAUGAAAUCCACUAGUGGAUUUCCUCUUCUAUAUUUUGUUCUUUACUAGGGAAGUAAUUAAUGUCCAUUUAAUCUUCUGUAUUGAGCAUUCUUUUCCUUCAAAAAUCCUCCGAUUCCUUUCCUUCCAUAUAUUCUACCAAAUACAAGCAAGUAUCGUUCUCCACCACUUCUUUUGACUUUUGCUGCCCCCCCUUCUGAUCCAACAACUCAAUAAGUCUGCUGUGUGUUCUGGCAUACACCAGUUUAGGCUAGCUAAAUUGAAGAAUAAAGCCCAUACUUGUGUUGUUACUUUGCAAUGCAGAAAUAAGUGUUUGUUGAUUUCCAGUGCCUCUUUGCAAAGUACGCAUCGAGAAGGUAUGUUGAUGCCCCUUUUCUGUAAUGCUUCAUGAGUUAGGCAGGCUUUUUUAGCUACCAACCAGACUAAACACUUCACUUUAGUAGGAGCCACACUCUUCCAAACAACACUCUAUGGCCCUGUUUUCCUUCCUCCAGUUACAAAUAAACCCCACUUAUACAAUCUGUUGACAGAGAAUCUUCCAUCAGGGUGUUGUCCCCAUAAUAGUCUGUCCGGUUCCAAGUUAGUGCCUGAGAAGCCUUUUAUCAUGUUCAACAGUUCAAUUACCCCUUCUAUCUCUCAGUCAUUUAACAACCUUUUGAAGACCAAAUUCCACCCUUGUUGAGACCACAACUCACUGAUUCUGCUAUCAGGGUGCACACUGUGCACACUGAUAGAAUAAAGUCCAGGAUACAAACUUUAAAGAGAUCCUUGACCAGUCCAGUCUUCUUUCCAUAAUAAAACCUUAUCCUUCCUCCCAACUUAAACUUUUAUAAUAACUUUUAAAGCCGGCCAAAAGCUUCUGAUAGUCCUCCGGACUCCUAUUCCAUAAGUGGUUGUUACUUCACCUGAACACCAUUGCCCUUCUUGUCCGAAUUUAUGUUGUAUCACCUCUUUCCAUAGUGCAUGCUCCUCUUGGUUGUACCUCCAUAGCCACUUACUUAGCAAACUUUUGUUCUGUAACUUGAGAUUCCUUACUCCGAACCCCCCAUAAUUUCUGCCUUGUUGAACCGUUGCCCAUUUUACUAAAUUGAAAUUACUCUCAGUUUUAUUUCCUUGCCAAAGUAAGUUCCUUCUCAAAGUGUCCAAAGUUUUGAUCACCCCACUAGGCAUAGGGAAAAGGGACAUCACAUAUGUUGGUAGGAAGUUUAUCAAAGUGACUCUACCUCCCAAUGAAAGGUACUGAGACUUCCAGAGUGCCAACUUCCUCUCGGUUUUCUCAAUAAUCCCAUCCCAAAUACUAGUUGCUUUAUGUUUUCCCCCCAAUGGCAUGCCUAGAUAGCCUGUUGGUAGCUUCUCAACCUUGCACCUCAAGAUGUUUGCUAGUGUUUGUAACUGUUGAACUUCUUUUAUGGGAAAGAUACUAUUUUUUCUCCAGUUAACCUUGAGUCAAGAACAAGCCUCAAAAACUACCAGAAUCACCCUUAAAUAACACAAUUGUUCCUGGUUUGCUUCACAGAACACUAUUGUAUCAUCGGCAUACAGUAAAUAUGUCAACUCCAUAUUCUCAUUUGCCCGGUUUGUUGUAUUGAAGCCUCUAAUCCAAUUAUUUUGCAAAGCUUUCCUCAUUAGACUGUCCAAUCCCUCCAUAGCUAGAAUAAAAAGGAAUGGAGAUAAGAUUCCAUCCUUAAAGACACCAUAUUUCGUUAACCAUUGUAUUUGGAUUGGUACUAAGAAUGGACAGAUCAGUAUAGGAAGCCUUAGAGGUUCCUGACCAAUCCAUAGUUCUUUCCAAAACUUAAUUCUGGUUCCGAUGCCUACUUUGAAAGUGAUAUCCCUGACCAACUGCCUCCACAAGCUCCUAAUUGUUUCCAAAAUGAAACCCCGUAGAUAGUGUUGACUGGAUUUGAGCACCAUUGCUCAUUCUGACCAUAUUUGCUGACAAUAACUUCCCUCCAAAGAGCUUGCUCCUCAUUUCCAAAUCUCCACAACCACUUCAGCUCAAAUUUCUAUUGUUAUGCAACCUCAAAUUUCUUAUGCCAAGACCACCAUUACUUUAGCUCAGUAGAGCAGUUUGACACUUUACCAAAUACUCAUUUCAAGAUAGGUAAUGGUAAGUACAUCAGAUUCUAGUCUCUAGAAAGAUAAAUGGCUCAAAAAUAACACUCUAAUAGAGGAAUUCCAGCAGCUAUACCUUUUCACCUCAUCUCCGCAUGCUUCUGUAAGUCAUUGUAAAAUAACCCAUGUUGCUCGGACUCUUCAAAAAUGUCAACAGGAGCAUGUCGGAUUCUCCAAAACCAGUGUAUUUUUGGAGAAUCCGACACGGUGCGGCAUUGAAAAUGAAGAGUCCACGCAACUUGGAGAAUAACAGGCAAUUAGAGCUUCAUUUGCAGAAGAAACAUUCAAGACUGGGAAUGGAGGAAGUCGUAAAUCUUAUGUCAAGGCUAGAAGAAGUAGCAAUCAACCCCCUCAUGAUGGACAAGUUGAUGGAGCUAUAGUAAAAAUGGUACGUUUACAGUGAAUCAUGCGACUUCAAUAUGUUCAGCAGUAACAGGAUAGAAGAUUGAUCAUGGAAGCUAGUAUGGAAGGUCAAAAUGCCUACUAAGAUCGCUUGCUUUUGUUGGAUAGUGUUAUCUGGUGCUUGUUUAACAAAUGAAACUUUGAUAAGGAGGUGCCUCUCACUCAGCAGUAGCUGCUAUAUGUGCCUAUAGCACUCUGAAGAUGCAUGUCGCCUCCCUAUAUCACAGUCAGAUAGCGAGAGCGGUAUGCCAUAUGUUCUUCUACCUUUUUGGAUUACACUGGGUAAGGCGCUUUCAAAACAAAACAAGGUAGUCCAAGAAUUGGGUGCAGUGGAAAGUCAGUAAGUCCAUCCAGAAGGUAUGGCAGAUGGUACCAGAUUGCACGUAGUCCAUCCAGAAGGUAUGGCAGAUGAUACCAGAUUGCACUUUUUGAUGCUUAUGGACUGAAAGAAAUCACAGAUGCUAUGGAGUACUAACUCCCACAAUAUCCUAAAAGCUAAGAUGCCUUGUAAGCCUUGUUUAAUGGUAUAGGCCAUGCUGUACAUAAUUUUUAUCUAUUUUUUUACUUUGUUAGCUCCUUCGGCCACAUACAGGAAGACACUGUAUAGGGAGCCAACUCUAUAUUGCUCUAGGCUAUAAUUUUCAGUAUCAUCUUGACGCAUUUUCAAUGGAACUCCAGUUACGUGAUCCAGAAAAAAAAAUAAAAGAGUCGAGCAGGUAUGUCCAUCGAUACAUAUCUGGAGAAAGUUCAAGCUCAAUAAGCUGAAAUGACAUUAAAGGAAAAGAAAGUGAACUAGAAAGGCUUCUCACUUAUAUAGGAUAAAAAGUAACUUUUAUCAAUGUAUGAGAACGAGCACAAAAUUCUGUACGAAACAAAAUUAUUUUCCUUGUUUAGACAACAUUUGACUUUUGUGCAGAACACCCAAAGACACCUUUUCUGAUAAUCAGAUUAAAAUAUCUUGCACAAGGUAUAGAAUAAGAGCAAGGAUGUAAGUAGGCAUAGAGAGGGAUCCUAGAAAAGAAUUGGCGUUGAGACAGCAAAACUUUUGGAGAAUCAGGCAUGCACUCGUUGACAUUUUUGAAAAGUCCAAGCAACAUAGGAAAAAAUUACUUCUAACAAGCUUCUACAUAGACACUACCCAGUUGAGAACAAUACUCACCUCAAUAUAAAGCUCUGUCAUUUGAUCAGUUAUGACAAUUGGAUAGUUCUGCACGAGCUUAGGUAAGUCAGACAAGGUUUCCAGGUAGGCUUCAGAGGACAUAUGUUUCUUCUUUCUUCCACGGGGGAAGUCUGAAGCAUUAUGUUGUCUUAAAGAAGUGAAGUUCAGGGUGCCUAUUGAAUGAACUUCAAUGAGUGUCUUCAGAUAAAGGAAAAGACUUUCUGGAUUAGAUCGCAGCUGAGAAAAAAUGUAAUCACGCUCCUCUCCCAAAUGACUGACAAUCAGAAAAAAAGUUCCUUCCCUGCAAAAUCCCAAAAUUAGUAAGAUUUUUCAGCACUCUGUGAUUAUCCUCUAAAAUAUGUGGUUAAACAGAUUGCAGCUGGCAUAAAAUGAACUUCAUCUCAUGAAAAUCGAGCUUGAAUAUGAAUGAUAAACAUUGUGGAAUUGUAUUGCAACCUGUUCAACUUGAGUAGAUCUGGGAUUCGACAAAUGACUGCUGAUCUGAAAGCAUCAGAUUCUUUGCCUCUCAGUUGCCGCAGCAUGUCAUCAACAAAUACAAAAGCAAGAAUAGGCUCAUCAACAGCUUUCACAAAACUGUCCAAAGCAGAAAGAUACUGAUGUGUGAUGGCAUGAAUUAAGCCGCAGACCUAAAAUAAGUAGCAUGUCCACUUAAAUAAUUGAAUUCAUUGAUACUUGACAGAAGAACACGGAACAGAAAGAGUUGGCAAGGAAAAGGACCUGAUGCAGCUGACCCCUCUCACAUAGAUUCAGUAAGUAAUGUGCAUCCCAGUCUUCCUCCGGCAAAACUUCUAUAAGUGCAGUCAAUUGCUUCUGUUUCCUCUUGAAGGUUUCAACUAUCAGCCCAGAAUCAUUGGGGUAAGUUUCGUUACCCAGUGUCAGGUACUCAAAAAUUUGACUAAGGGUAUCUUUUGAAACCUUAGCUUUUUCAGAGGCAAUUAAAAAGGAAAUAAAAUCCAAUACGUUCUCGGUAUCUUUACUUGUAGGCCAAAUGUCAGUACAUCUUUCAUCUUUACUGUUAAAAGAACCACCAGUUUGGAAAUAGCUCAGAUUAAGAAUGACCGCAAGGACAUCCACUACUUUCUGAACUAAGUUUGCGCCUUCAAUAGUUGAAAUGUCUACUUCAGUUGUCUCCGUCUUUGAAUUCACUGGAUUCCAUGAAGGAUUGUAUCUUUCAUUUUCAUCCUCUACAAAUGCAUAUCGCAAAACAUCUAAGGUGGCCUCCGUGUCAAGCUCUAACAGAGAGAGCAAAUUUGGGUUUGGUCCACCAUAAGGUAAGCACAUUGCUGUCGAAGAAUUUGGUGAACUCGCUUCUUCCAACAAAAAUUGCACAAGCUCUCUUUUAAGAGACGGCACACGUGUAGAAGGGAGUGUUCCACGCCCUGCAACACAGUUCAUCAUCAAUUGCUUGAAGCAAAAUCACAAAAAGCACAACUAAGUAACAAAAGAUAAGAGCAUGAAAUACAAAAGUAAGGUCCCCAUAAGUAGCAGAAAUGCAGAAUAGCUAAAUAGAUUUUUAAAAAUUCAUUUUGUUUCCUUCAGUAGUUCUUCAACAUAACCCCCAUCCCCACCCCACCCCCACAUUCCCAAUCCUUGUUGUUUCUCUCCUGGACAAGAUGCCGGGAUGCAUAUAUGAAUAGGAUAUUUACUGUGUCGUUCGUCAAAGACUAACUCCAGAAAGAGAAUAGGAUAUAGGCAAUGCAACAUUUCAUGAUAGAUAUUAUUGUGGGAAAAUAUGUAUGGGGAUCACAAAACUACUGAAAAUUGAUUCGAGAACAAGAGUGGAGUAUUCCUCUAAUCUGUUAACUUUCUCGAGAUUCUCUAACAUCUUGUUUAUCCCAGCUUUCAUAUCGCCCAGUCACUUUCUCCUGUCCUUCAACUUCUCCUCGAGCAACAUUAUCUAUUUUCAUUUUUUGUUUUUUGAGAAGGUAACAGAUUCAGUAGAUAUACAUAAACAUCAGAACAAAUUGUGCUGGAAACCAAAAUGUAGUUACAUCAUUACAUCAGUGAUUCACUAACCCAAAAAUCCUUGAUCUGCUUAUAAGGAGUCUAAUAUAUAACAAGACUAUCUAUCUAAAACCAGUAUAACCAUACAACAAAAGUAGUUGUCUCCUUGAAGGCUCUGAUGCUAACACAAACAACGAAAAUGUCAAGUUCUCUCAAUUUCCCUCAAGCUACGUGAAGCUGAAUGCUUUAACAGUACACGUGCAUAAAAUAAUUCACAAUUCUAUACUUCCUUUAAUCUGGAAUCUUUCCUCAUUUGAUCUUAUACCACCAAACCUUUCAAAUUGAACUUCUUUUUUUAUUUUUUUUCAAAAUUUUACUGAUACCACAAGAAUCAACCAUCACGAUAGACAAUAAAAUAGAGUUGCAAGGAUAUAGUAUGAGCAAAGUGAAACCCAAAUAUAUCCCUUUUGCUUCUGUUCUCAGGCUUAUUAAAGACAGACUAAUUUGUUCAAGCAUGCAUACAAAAGAAGCUAUCAAAUGAGGAAAACCAUCCAAAGUUCGCUCAUAUUAAGUAAUAAGUGCAUAUUGCAGACCAACCUGGAGGGAAAGCCAAACCUUGGAAGCAGUACUUGAGGUAAACAAGCAUCUUGUACCUGAUUCCACAGGAAAGUGAAGCUUGUUUACUCGAAACACCAAUGUGCGUUUCAAAAAAUGUCAAAUAAUGGAUGACAAUUUAGGAAUAUCACCUACUUAGAGCAGAAAAUUUACAUUAUAUGAGGGUAUCAAACUUGUACAAGCUAUAAGUCAUGUUCAUUAGAUAAUUUAAUCCAAUAAAUGUAUCAAUUUACCCAAGAGCAGUAGCACUUUCUCUUUUGCUAUCCCGCAAAAUUAAAAAGAGCUCUUCCAAAGGAGUCCGAAAAUCAUCAAGACCUUUGUUGAACAAGUAGAUCAAUGCACCAUGCAGCCUAUGCUCCCUGCAUAGGCGAACAACCUACAAAACAGAUUAAAAAAUUAACAGUUAAAUCCAACAAAUUCACAGGGAAGACAGAAAAUAUCCAAAUCAAGCCUAUAGCGGAAGCUUUAUUUCAUUCAUGCAACUUUCUCCUGUUUGAGGACAACAGUCCUUUGCACUCAUGUCUUAUUAAUGAGAACCUUCAGGUGUGGCCGUAAAACAGUAAUCAUAAAUUUUAACAUAUAAAACGUGCAGCAAUACCUGAUUGAAAUCCAGGGACAACAUGUCCAUGUGGAGAACACACUGUUCAACACGCUGUAACCAACCUUUAGUGCUAUAGUGCUCCACUAGUGCUUGCAUUAUCUUUAGCAAUAAUGGAUAACAGUAGAUUAGCAUCCAUAUAAUCUGCUUUUAUACAUGAAUAACAAAGCAAGUGCCUAAUAGUGACACGGUAAAGUAAUAUGAGGCAUAAAAACCCCUCAAUUAAAAACAUGUCACAAACCAAAACCAUAGAUAUACCUCAGGUGGUAAAGAUCCUAGCAUGUCUUUCAAUAUAUAUGGCUCCAGAAGCUCCAAAAAUGUAUCUGUACAAAUAAUUUAGCCCGACUUUUAAUUUCAAUGCAAUAUAACCUGUUGAAAAUUGGAGUAAAUGAGAACAGAAAAAGCCCAAAAUUCCACAGGAGGAACUGUGGAACACAAACAAAAUUAAAAUAUUAAUUAACAGUCUGCUAAACAUUUCUACUCUAUUCCCUUUUUUGAUAACAAAGGUAUCCAGGCCAGCUUAACACACCUCCACUAAUCUACUGGGUACCGCUACCUCCCACCAGCAUGGGAACCACUAACGUUGCAAGUUAAGUCUUAGAAAGAUGAGAAGAAUUUACUUAUUGUCACCUCUGUUAGAAUUUGAACUCCAAGAUUGUCAGUGCAACGACUACUAGGCCAAUCCCUUGGGAGCUCCAUAAGACAUCAGUUUUUACAAUUGUUCUUAUCUUCAUAUAACUAGUUUCUAGACUUUCUUUGAUACGGCAAAAAGACGGAUAUUGAAGGUUUUCUAACACAUCGGAUAAGUCAGUUACCGCAGAAAUUGAGUUCCAAAGGUUAGUGUGAGAGAGGAGGGGACUUGGGGAAGGAAAAAGUUACCAAACAAACCUGAAAUAAUUAUUUAUUCAAACUAUGCUUUUCUCAUUUUCGAUUCAAACUCUGGUUAAUAAUAUGUGCAUCCCAUUAUCUUCAAUUCCUCAUAAACUGUUCACCUAGUUAAUUCACUAUGCUACUUGGAGGCACUCAGUAAUAUAUUAUAGUUUUGUAAAAGCAGUUUUGUUUUUCAUCAAGGAGGUACCAGACAUAGAAAUAAGCCCCAAAUAGUUGACAUGGGACACAAUGCAGGAAGUUGAAGUAUAAACAUAUUGCACCAUACCCUUGUGAUUCACAGCAACAUACUUUGGAAAAAUUUCAUCAAAGAGAACAUCAAGUCUCUUGAUAUGAAGACAGAAUUCAACGGAAACACCACCAACCAGAGUGUACUGCUCCUUAAUAUCAGGAUUCACAAAGUUACCAUCAUACUUCAAUUCAUUCGAUUGGCCUGACGGCCCAAGUUGGUUGCCAGAUGUCACUGCUAUGUAGGAGAAUACCUCAUCUACAUAUGAAAACAGCAGUUGUACAAGAUAUGGCAUAAGAGUCUUCUGCACAUCAUCCAAGUUCUUUGGAAGGUCAAUAACUGCAUGUGCCUGACCAUCAUAAAGAGACAUUGCCAUGUUCAGUGCACUCAUCCAGUCACCUGCUUUAUGUAAAACUUCUAUUCGUUCCUUCCAGGAAAGAAGGCGUGAAACAACAAGCUGGGAUGGCCGAAGUAUGUACAAAGUUGCCCCCCUAACACCUACACAGUUGUGAUGAGCUUUCUCAGGAUUUCCAAAGACAUUGCUGAAGUAGGAAUGGUAUGACAUGAGAUCCUCUCCACAAGAUCCAUCCAUGGCAAAACUUCUCUGGUGGAUCAAAUUCCCAUCUUUCGAAAACAAACAAAGUUGUCCAGUUGCUGUGAAAAUUACCAAAAUCUGGACAAGUAAAAGACCUUAGUAAUUUUUGUAUUUCUGUCCUAAACUAAAUGCAAGUAUUCUACAUUAUUAAAAAAAAAGGGGCAGUCCGGUGCACUAAAGCUCCCGCUAUGCACAGGAUCGGGGGAAGGGCCCCACCACAAGGGUGUAUUGUACGCAGCCUUACCUUGCAAUUCUGCCAGAGGCUGUUUCCAAGGCUUAAACCCAUGACCUGCUAGUCACAUGGCAGCAACUUUACCAGUUACUCCAAGGCUCCCCCAAACCACCACCCCCCACCCCCAAAUGCAAGUAUUCCACAUAUUGCAGAUAAAUGAUGAGAAAACUAAGCUCCUAAUAGCACCAAGAAAUUUAUGUACCUGUUCAUCCAACCAUGCCAGCCCGACUGCUGAGCUAUCCGUAGUCCAUCUCCAACAAACUUUUAGCUCAGAUUUCACCAGCUUUGCAACUUGAACUCUUCGAUCCCAAGCAAUAGCAAGCAGAGAAACUUUUUCUAAUGUUUCAGUGGACAUACUUUCUGCUGCAACAAAAACAAUCUUAGCAAGCCAAAAUGCAACAUAUCCACAGGCAAAUAUCAUACAUACCAAAACUGAAAGAAAUAUGUGAUUCCAUACAUUUCCAAGCAGCAUAGGGCAUUGAACCCUCCCUAACACCAUCAGGACGUGGAAUUUUAGCAUAAACUUUAAAUGUGGGGCUAAAUUUUGCCUGCAAAAGACAGUGAAACAGAAGUCUUAAACCAAGAAUCUGGAAUGAAGGUUAACUGAUCAUAUACAAGGAGUUUUGGUUUGGGGAGUUUGUGAAAUCCUUCCAGGGCAAUGAAUGUUCUAAAAACUUCAUACCACUAGAGCAGAUUGGUGAGUGCCAAGUAUGACCACACCUUCCUCAAUCAAAGAAGGGCCGCCUCCCUCUUGAGAAGCCACCGUAGCACCUCCAUAACUUUCACCAGAUAUUAGUGGCACAGCACAUAAUGUAGUGCUGUUGCUUUCAUUUAGCAGUUCCUGUUAAAAUGUAAACAAAUAUUAUUCAACCUAGAGAUGCAUGUAUAAAAAAGGGCAGCUCGGUGCACUAAAGCUACCGCUAUGCGCGAUGUCCGAGGAAGGGCCCCACCACAAGGGUGUAUCGUACGCAACCUCACCUUGCAUUUCUGCCAGAGGCUGUUUCCAAGGCUUGAACCCGUGACCUCCUGGUCACAUGGCAGCAACUUUACCAGUUACUCCAAGGCUCCCCUUCUAGAGAUGCAUGUAUAUUCAUGUCAAUUUUUGGGAAGAAUAUUCAUGUCAAUUGAGAAGCAUAAAAAGGAUAUAUUUACCUGGGACUUUGAAAGGGAGAUUGUUUUGAACAAGGAAUACACUGCAAACCGGUCUAAGUUAACUACACCUUUAGUAUCACCACUUAGCACAGUAAAAAACUGUCGAGUAACUUGAGAAUCUUGCCCUAAAUAUAAAAGAUGCACAACUGGAGCUUUAUGUUCAGUGACAACUUUAAGCACAGAGGCCUUUUGCACAUCCCAUACAGUAUAAUGCCCAUCCCCAUAUCCUGCAAAGAGCAUAUCCCCUUGCAGAUUAAAGCUCAAGCAAGUUACAGGGACAUGAGAUCUAUCUCCUGGUGAUCCAAAUAUCAACAUCUGAAAUAUAUACACAUUUCUGCCAUCAGAAAGUAAAUAUAUUUAAUAAUUCAGUCGAAUCUAAAGUUUAAUGCAAGUAACAAGAAAAUAUACAUAAUACAGAUAUAGAGAUUCUACAAUGAGCAAUGAGCAAUUUCCUUUUCAAAAGUUAUUAUACGAGAAGAUAUUUCUUAAAUUGCAAUCAUUUAUGUUCAAAGAGGAGAGAAUGAAUAAUACUUUUUUGAAUAUAACAAUACUUUUGGUUGAAAUCCAAUUCACAAUGUGGUCAAUUACUGUAAUAAAGUACCAGUGCACAAAGCUAAUUAGCACAAAACCUUAGCAUCCAUGUUAUCAGCAUGAUGUGGAGAGUAUCUGCUUGGCAUCACAAGAAUUGAUCCUUUGGACAUCCCCACAGCAAUGUAAUUGAGGUGAACUGCGAGGACCUGUGAAGAUCCAUGCUUAUGCCUGAAAGCUUGAGAUAAAAGGGUUUGGGUGAUGGUAUUGUUGUCAUCUACAUCAAAGUAACCCAAGACAUUAGAACUCCUAUGAACUCCAUCAAGCCUCAUUGGUUGAGCAGAAGCACCCUCUUCCAAGUGCAUAGCCGUGAAGGCCUGCUUCUUUUCAUCUUCCUCAGCCAAUUCUAGGGGCUUCAAGUAAGAGUGGUAAUUUUUCUGAGGCUUUGUACUAUCCCCCAUAUUUCCUCGCUGUAGAACUACCUCCCCAAUGAUAAUUGCAGCAUCACUUAAAGAAUCGGUUUCAUCACCAUUGGAACUAACCUCUCCCUUCGAUUGAGGAAUUAUAUUCUCAUACUCAUGUUUUGCACCAUCCUUUUUAGUCAAAUCUUCGUCAGAAAGAGAUUCACAAACUGGAGAAGAGAGUACCUCCUUUGUAGCAGCUUCUUCGCUGUUUUCCGCACUAAUAACAUUAUCUUCGCCUCCAAAUAGAGAUUGAACUAGUCUAUCUUCAAUCUCAUCCAACCCAGAGCUAUCAUGAAAAAUUGAGUCUUUUUUAGUUCUACUAGGAGAAUCCACUUCAGUUCCAGUAUAACUUAGAGCUUCCUUCAAAUUACUUUUAAUUGAAAAAUCAUCCAAAACAGAAACAUCAUCUGCAUCAGAAGUAUUCAUAUUGUCCUGAUCAGCAUCUGCUGUAGAUGCCUCCCUACCAUAAUUGUCUGUAUCAUUUAGUUGAACUUGAGCAGCUUGAAACUGAUCCUUUAUGUUACAUUCUGAGCCAAUAUGCUCAGAACCAAUCUCAUGUGAAAACUCUGAGCGCCCAGAAGUGUCAAGACUUUUGUCAGAAACAUCAGUACCAGUACAGGCUGGAGAAGCUAUGGGAUCAGUUUCAUCACUUUCCAAAGUCCUUUGCAGCACUCCGGAGCUUGCUUUUCUGGAUUUAAUAGCUGCUGCACGAGGUGCAGGAAUGGAUCGCGAUGCAGCGAAAGCUGCAGCCAAGGCAUCUCCUGGUUUUGAAUUUGAUCUGAUGAUCCCACUGAAAAAUGGUAGCAACACACUCUGGCCUGCCUGUGGUGAAGAAAAUUCACUCGAUUGUUUACUACUAAUUGACUCAGCUGUUAUCUCUGUCUGAUGCAACUCUAAUGGCAGCUUUAGAGAUUGAAAAGAAGAGCCUCCCGACCGAUUGUGGCUAUCUAGAUAACUGUGUCCUUGCAAAGCAGAUGGAGAAGACGGAGGAGAAGGCGAAGAAGAGGAGGAGGAGGAGGAGUGAUUGAGGAGAAUUUCAUCAACAGUGCGAUGAUGCAGUAAGUGAUCAUCAUCAUCGUCAUCAACAUGAGAUUCUAAAAUCGAAUCCAGGUCAAGCUCCAUGAAAGUUUUCACUGGCUACUACUUUCACCUAUCGCUUCGCAGAAACAGUUAGCUCUUCAACCCUGAAAACAGAGUCCAGGAAAAAUUAGUUUAUGAUCAGGGAAGAUAUCAAUAUACUAAGUGCAAGAUCUAGAUAGCUGUUAUAUAUCUAGAGUGUGAAUAACAGAAGACAGCUAGGCUAAGUUGCCGCACCCGUGUCGACACGACACUGACACGGGUAAGGGUGUGGGAUCUGUGUCGGAUCCGGUCAAACGAGAUCGGGUGUGUUGACCAACAAUUCGGAGAAAAAUUGAAAUUGUGAUAUCUCAAAGUAAAGAUUUGAAUAGCUCGAAAACAAAAUACCUUCAAUUUUGUUGCUACAUAGUAAUUUAUAGAAGUCCUUUUGUCUCGUCUGAAGCUUUUUUCUUGGUAAAUCUUCUUGUUCGUGUUGGCUGUUGCAGGUAUUGUUCACGUUGUAACAGAUUUUUUAAGCCGAGAAUAUCGGUGCCGUAGUGGACUACUAAAUUGUGCGCACAGUAAUUUGUAUUGUAUUGGAAAAAAAAUGCAAAACUUGUAGUUGGGGGAAGAAGAUGGAUGAGAGAAGACGAAGUAGAGGAACUGUGGAACAAAGUCCAAGAUGAACUUUUUUCUGAUUAUUUUAAUUGACAGAUGUAAGUAUGCUGAGUUAUUAAGACCAAUCCGGAUGCCACCUUUGAUUGUUUAUUACUUUUAAGAAUAAAUAUUAUUAUUAUUAUUUUUAUUAAAUGAGAUAAACAUUUUAUAUUAUAAUUAGAGCUUAGUUAAGAGCUGCCUAUUAUUUAUUACUCCUUCCGUCUACCUAAUGGAGAUGACAUCUUAUCAUUGUACUCUAUUUAAAUAAUAUUUAUAUUUUAAUUUAAAAAAAAAAUAGUUGAUGCAAAUGAUAAAAUAUGAAGAAAAAAAAUUUCUCUUCUUGAGUAAUAAAAAAAUAAAUUAAAAAAUUUGAGACAAAUAAUUUAAUACGAAGGAAAUAUUAAGAAUAAAUAAUUUAUCCAUUUUUUUAGUCAAAUAAGGUAACCAUUGUUAAGGCGUUUUUUAUUUUUAUUUUCCAGCACAUAGGUCCACAAUUUAUUAACAUUUAACUUAUAAUUUUAACUUUAAUAAUUUAACUUUAACUUUAAUUAUUUAAAUUUAACUUUAAUAAUUUCUUUAACUUUAAUUAUUCAACUUUAACUUUAUUAAUUUAACUUUAACUUUAAAUUUAAUAUGGUAUACAUUUAUUAUAAAUACUAGGUUAAUCGUACGUGUCUCACACGUGUAAUGUUUGAUUAUUUAAAAUUAAAUAAUUUAUUUAUUGUGAAAAAGUUUAAUGAAGGGUAAAAGUUUAAAUCACUUUUCAAAGAUUCUUUACACUUUAAUAGAAUAAUGUAAAUAUAAACAUAUAUUUUAGUGUAAGUUCAUAUAUAUUUUACCAUUAGAAGUUUCAAAUGGUUUAUGGAUCAUCAUUUUUGCAUUUGUCAUGUAGCACCUCUUUUUUUUUUUGCAGCCAAAGAAACAUAUUUAUGAUACAGUUAUUUUUGUUAUUUUUUUCAAAAAGGUGUUUAUAGUACAAGAAACAGUUUUACUUAAAAUGUAAUUAUAUAUUGAAAGUAAUAAUUCUAAACUAUCAUAAUAAUUAAAAUGUAAUUAUUUAUUAGAAGUGACAAUUGACAAUAUUCGACUAAUUUAAUUGAUAACAAGAUAUCAUAUUAGGGAUCACAUCUUGUUAAAUCGUUUGAUUCUUCUUGUUAGUGUAAGUUCUGAACUAUCGGAAUACUUGAAGUGUAAUUAUAUAUUAAAAGUAACAAUUGACAAUAUUCGAAUAACUUAAUUGAUAACAAGAUAUCAUAUUAUGGAUCACAUCAUGUUAGAUCGUUUGAUUCUUCUUAUUAGUGCAAGUUUUGAACUAUCGAAAUACUUGAAGUGUGAUUAUAUAUUAGAAGUAACAAUUAAUAAUAUUUGACUAACUUAAUUGAUAACAAGAUAUCAUAUUAGAGAUCACAUCUUGUUAGAUCGUUUGAUAUAUUUUGUCAAUGUAAGUUCUGAACUAUCGAAAUACUUAACAUAUAAUUAUAUAUUAGAAGUAAUAAUUGACUAUACUAUGUGAUUAACUUAGUUGAUAACAAGAUAUCAUAUUAGAGAUCACAUCUUGUUAGAUCGUUUGAUUUUUCUUGUCAAUGUAAAUUCUGAACUAUCAAUAUAUAUAUAUAUAUAUAUAUAUAUAUAUAUAUAUAUAUAUGGGGCAUAAAUAAAUUGACAAUUGUAAUUUAAAGAGCAAUGGAUGCAUUUGAACCAAAUAGGCAAUAUUGAUGGCUUUGGGACUAUAGAAUGGUCUUGUUAAUGUAUUUACAUUUCAUCUUAUGUUGGUAUAUUUACACUAAUUUUCUUUUAGUUAUUUUUGGAGGUUUGUAUUUUCAUGACAUAAAAAUAAUAUGUUUUGUCAUGUUGAAUUUUUUAAAAGAAAAAUUGAUUUGAGUGAUUUUGAAAGAUAAACACUCUAAGUUGAUUGGUUUUAUUUUUCCAUGUUAUAUAAAUUUCAUAGUUGAGUUACAUUUUGAAAUUUAACUCUAAUUAGUUUAAACUUGUAUAGCAUGAGAUUAUUAAUAAAAAGAAUUUGUUUGACUUUGAUUAGAAAUGAAAUUUAGAAAAGUGAAAAAGAAGUUUUGAGUAUCUAGUUCUAAAUUAAAGAUAUGUAAAAUGUAGAAAAAUAUUUCUUAAAUUUAUGACUUUAAAUAUAUCUCACUAAAAAUUGUCAUAUAAGUUAUCAAAAAAAUGAGUUAUUCUUUCUUGAAAUGAAUUAAAUAGAAAAGAAAGACAAAUAAACUAAAAUAAAAAAAAUAGCAAAAGUGUCUCUUGUCAUGAUUUCUUUUUUGUUUUUCAAAAAUUUGUAUUUAAAGUCGUUAAUUAAAAAAUCUGAUCUCUAGUCCUUGUAGUUUUUAUGAGCGUGUGACCAAAUCGAUCAUUGUUCUUUUAUGAGGAAUUUCAAUAAAUAGCGGUAGUUUAGUGUUUAUGGAUAAAAUAUAGUGAUAAUUUAGCUAGUUACCAAAUGUAGAAAUAAUUUUAAAUUUGGUUGCAUUAGUCAUACAUCUUUUUAAACUCGUGGGCUUUGUUAGUAGUAUAGAUUUGAAAGUCAUGUUAUGGCAUUUAAUAAUCUUAAGCCAAAAGGAUGAACGAAUCAACUAAUUAAAAUUGCACCUUGUUCAACAUAGAAGCUUUUCUAUAAAUGUGAUUUUUACGAGAACUGGAAGAAAAGCUUUUGGUGAUUCUUGAAUAUCUGAAAGAGGAGGAAGAGGAGGAGGCGCCUCCAUUGAUUUUGGAAGAUCUGAAGAGGAAAAAAUGACUCAUUUAAUAAAAAUUUUAGUGUAGUUGUGUUUGAUGAAAGUUUAAACUGUCAUUAUAAAAGGUAAUUACAUGGCUUAAUAAUUAGGUAAUUAUCUCUUGUUUUAAUAUAAGCGAUUGAAUUCAUAACGGUUGUCUUAAAGAAAUCUAUGUCUCAGAUUUUGCAUUUUGAUCAACUUAAGUAAGUAUUUGGUGAUAUGAUUUGAAGCUCAAAUUAAAAGUUUUGAAUUCAAAAUGAGAGUUUGCUUAUGAAUUUUGAAUAAAAGUUUUACUUCAAUUUCAAAUUCUAAAUUCUUCCCAAAAAACAGGAUUUUAAAUUUUAAGUUGAUGUUAAUUUUUAAAAUAUCAAAUUUGUCCCAAAAGUUUACAUUCUUUGAAAAAAUAUCACCAUUUUAAAUUCCUUCCCCCCUCCCCCCCUCCCUCAAAAAAAAAUAUUUAUGCUCCAUGUGAAGAGAUUAUUCGUAUGGGGAAGAUUAAACUAAAAAUAGCUAGUUACUACUCUCGUUCAAUUAAUAGAUUAGUGAAUUUUUGUAAUUUUGUAUAUAUUUGAAAAUUUAUAAUAGCAUAUAAUUACAAAUAUUUAUUUAUAAAAGGAACAUGAAAAUAUGUGAUUUAUUAAUGUGAAGACUUAGAACAUUGAUACCUUGUUUAUAUAUGAAUUAUGAUUUGCUCAUUUCACAAGAUUCUAUAAGAGUUGAAAUUUAUUUUUAUUUUUAUAAAUUAUCAUUUUUCCAUGAUAAUAAGAUAACUUAAGAAAUUCAAAAUACAUGUUUAAACAAAAAUUUAAUUUUAAAUUAACCUAUUUCAAAUUAGUGAUUUCAAAUAAUAGAAAUCAUGUCAAAAGGGUUACUUAAACGGAGCUCUAAAAUGGUCCAUUUCUCUAAGGGGUCGUUUGAUAGGGUGCAUUAGGAGAAGAGUAACUUACAUAAAUCCCGGAUAGUUUCAGCAUACAUAAAAUCCCGGAUAGUUUGCUAAUUACAUCUUAUCCUGGAAUUUUGAAUUGGUGAUACAUAUGUUAAGCAGUGAUACAUAUGGACUAGUGAUACAUAUAGCAUAUGUAUCACUAGUAAAUAUGAAAUUCGGAAUUUUAUGUAAUUUUUAAAAUAUUAAGGAAUUGCGUGUAAUAUGGUUCCUUAAAUAUGAGAUUUGUGUAAUUUUUCCUUAGGAGAAAUAGUUUAUGUAUUAUGUGUGGUAUUAUUUAGUAUUAUGUUUAGUAGGAUUUUGGAUCUAUGUAUAACUAAUACAUGUAUCAGUUAUUUGCUCUACUUGGUAUUGUAGGAUGUAUGACUAAUACCUUCAUUUGGUGGUAUUAGUAAUACAUAGUAGGAUUUAAUACCAUCAGCUAAUAUAUGUAAAGACAAAAAUAUCCCUCAAAAUAUCAAAAUAUUUAAGCAAUUUUUUUUAUUUUCUUGAUUUUAUUUUUUUAUUUGUAUUAAUAAAUUUUUAAUUAAAUUAGCUUACAAAUUUUAUUAUCAGAGAGAGUUGUCUGUUGCUAAUUAAAAUACAAUAUCAAUCGAUAAUACUUGAAAUAUGAAUUGUUUAGCUUUUUUUUUUUUUUUUAAUUUUUAAGAAGGGGAGAGGGAGGGGGCUUACUAUCGACUUUUAUUUCAUCACCAAAAGUAAAAAUUACAAAGCAGUAAGGUUAACAGAACCUGCUUAAAGUAGGAGGGAUCACCUCAUGCAACUCUACAAACUCUUAUUUUUAAUUGAACUUUGACAUUUUGUGAGUGAGUUAAUUUAUUAAGACGAUUAUUUACCCUCAAAUAAUUUAAGUGGGGAUAUAAAAAAUACUUAAUUCUUAAGAACAAAUAAUAGAGUUUUGAAAAGAAAAUACACAAAGAUAUAAGAAAAAAGGACAUGGGAUGGCCAUUUUAAAAAAUCUUCCUAAGAAUCUUCAUGAGCUCUAUGAACUUACCUUGAAGAGUUCCUAUGUUGCAAGACUCAGUUCUCAAUCUAGAGGCUCCUUUAUCCCACCUAACCUUACUACCCCUCGCCCCCGAUCCCUAACUUGACCCUAGACUCGACCCCACCCCAACACCAAACUCAAACCUCGACCUCACCUUGAGCCUCAAUCCCGACCCCAAACUAUGAAAUGACUGUGACAUUGACCACCACCGUCAUUACUUAAUAAGAGGAAAAAAAAUAAGAAGACGCGCAAAUAGGUAAGGCUAACAAGACAUAAUAGUAACGAGUGAAAUAACAGGAAAUAAUAAACAAAAAAAUUACAAAACUAAGUGCUAAUAUUUUGCACUCUAGUUGAAAAAAAAUAAAUUAUUGCGGGGUGGGUUUAUGCUGGGUGCAAAAUAGCAAAAUUAUGUUCUGUUGGGAAGGGUGGAUUGAAGUUUUUGUGGGUUUGCCCACAACCGCACCACUUUCCAUCCCUACAUUCCCACCUUAAUUUUAUGUAUAAAUAACAUAAAUACUAACUCUUUUAGAAGUAAUUACACUCUCUCCCAACUUUUUAAUUACUUUACUCUCUCUCCUUAUUAAUAUACAUAACAUAGCCGAUAUAUACAUAACAUUCUAUAUAUAUGUUGAAAUUUUUGUAAUAUGUUUAAGGGGUUGAAAUUUUUUGUAAUAUUGAAAAUAUAAAUUGUUCAUUUGUGUAAUUUUUACUAUCACUCUAACUAUAGUAACUAACUUUAGUUUGAUGUAAAUAUGUAGUAUGAAUAAGAAAUGGAAUUAAAAAACUAUAGUCACAUAAAGUGAUCAUCGUCCUCUCCUUUGUUAUCUGUAUGUAUAAUCUCUCUGUGAUGCUACUUUAUUUUGACCAAUCCAACAUACUUAAAAAAUUCAAAAAUAUAAUUAAAAAGCUUGCAUCUUUUUUCGCAAAAUUAGUUGACAUCACUUCCUACCAUUGGUUAUUCACUUGCUUCCAGAAGUUCAUUUAUGCCACUUCAUUAACAUUAGAUAAAAUUAUGUUAAUUUCGAGUUAACCCUAAAGGCUCAUUGAAUGAGAAAUGGUGAUUCGGUUUCAGAUCAUUUGCACACUCAUGUAUAAAAAAAAAAGGGACAGAUACCAAAUGUACAGAGCAGAAAUAUCCUAAAUGUCUAACCUCAGGCUCAGUACUAGCCAUACUUUCGCCCUCUCGGGAAUUCAGUUUCUGCUAUAAUAUACAAGCUAGUGAACAUAUAUCCAGAAAUAAUGAUAGGAUUAGCAGCUCCCAGCUACAAAAUAUCGCCCAACCAACCUUGACAGUCCAAGUGCUGUCACAACUUAAUGUUCUUCUCUUUUCCUACAAAGAUGACCAUUUAAACAAGCUUUAGAAAUAUGAUGCACGUAUCUAAGGAUCAAGCAUGUGUAGAACAGAAGAGCAAUCUCACCAAAUAUAUUUGUUUUAAGGGGGAACCUUAAAGAUGAUCCCUUCAGUUUUACAUCUUUGAGGUGCUGCUUGCUCCUGCUAGGUUUCUCAGCUUUUGCCAGACCAUUGCUGCUUUCUCCAGCUGAAGGAACAUUUCUUUUCUUAACCUUUUCAUAGUACGCAGCAGGUGGUGCUGCAAGCCUUAGCUGAGGGAUAUUCUCUAUUUGCAUUGACUGGUGGCUUUUUUGAAGAUUAAGGAGGAGGUCAAACUGUAUAAUUUCACAUGUGAUCAGAUGAGCCUAGAUUUUUGGGGUGCAGGGUGGGGACAUGGGAUUAUCAAGCAUAAAAUAAUUAAAAGUGAAUUUUCAUACCCUUGAAAUUGACUGAAGUCCGUAAGAGUUGUCGAAACCAUCAUUCUCGCGCAGAUAUGGACCAGUCAUCCCAUUUGUUUGCUGGGAUUUUGAUAUAGACUUCACCAAUCCAUUCUCUAAAAGGAUUGAUUUACUUCUCAACUUCUCGGAAUUCUUUCUUGGCAUACAAAUAGGACAUCCAGCUGAGUUACCCUUGAAUGAUGCUUCACUUUCCCGAGGUUCGCAUUGCAGAUGUGUUGCAUGACCACAACUAAAAAUUUGAAUGCUAGAAGCAGAGAAAUCUUCUGUGAGGGGACAGUUACAAAUGCAGCAUAGGAGGCUCCGAGGUGCAAAUCCAUGAGAAGCUCCUCUCUUCAGUAAGCUCAACGAGGAAUAUGUAUCAUCUUCAAUCAAAGAUUUAGCUGUAUCCUGUAACAGUGAGCGUAAGAAGAGUCGAGUCUCACGAGAAUACUUGUCAGAGAUUGGUAAAGUUACUUUAAGGAGUGGAAAAAGAAGGAAAACUCUGGAAACCUAGUAGGCCUUUACAGGAUAAAAUGGCAAGUGAAAAGUUUAACGCAGUGAUAUUAGUUUGCUGAUAUGAACUUCAUUGCACUAAUUCCAACGAAAAUUACCAAUUUUUUUAGUUUUUUUUUUUCUUUUUCAAAUUAGUUGUUCUCAUCAGAAGUCAAGAAUGAUGACUGUGCUGCAUCUCCAGCUACAAAGACAAAAUAAGUCAAGUUCGUGGUAAAGGAUCACUCCCAGCUUUUCUAAAGAAUAACUUACACAACGUCGUUGCAAAAUCAACUUCCACAUUGAGAUUCCAAACAUAAAAGUCUAGAUAUUUGUAAUUGGGAUUCAAGCAACAGAAAAAGUUACUUCCAAGGGAUAUCACGGAUGCAAGAAUACAAAACGGAAGAAAAAGGCAACUCAUGCACAAGAGGACAUUUAUUAUUUUCACUUUCUCAUAUUUUCAUCAAUUAAUCAAAGGUAUCCUAGUGAGAAAUACAGAUAUAAAGGUUUAGCACAUUGAAUAGCCAGAUAUGGGAAUUCUUUCUACAACCAAUAAAGAAAAAGGUGUGAGCCAAUAGAAUGCAUUCAGACACCAAACAAGGGAAAACCUAUUUAACAAGAGCAAUUUAUAAUUUUAUAAACAGAGAAUGGAUACUGUUCAAUAAAAAUCUUAUUGGCACACCAUACUUAAAAAAUGGAGAUGUGAAUAAGAAACAUAAAAGAUAACCUACCAAAAUCUGCCUCUCAAAAUCAUAUGUUCCAAGCAUCUCCAGUAUAGUAGGUUUGAAAUCACCAAAUUCCUGCAUCUCAUUAUCUGAAAGAAGCUUUAAUAUGAUCCUUGGGAUCAAUUUCCUGAGGAUGUGAGCGUUCCUAUGAGAUUUUGACACCUUCCAUUGAAUUUUGCAAGCCGGCUCGCCUUCUUGCGCACGUUCUUCAUCUUUAUAUCUUAUUAUACUAUGAUCAUGUGAAUCCACCAAAGGCUCACAAAAACUGUACAAGGAAUUAAAAGAGGGAAUCAACAAGCAGGUGAUGCAGAUGAUUUUUUAAAAUAAAGUAAAUGUACUUUUAGAAGAUCUCAGAUCAAACAAACACAUACAGAGAAUACUUAUUUUGAUGAGAAUAAUACUUGUAGAUGGAAAGUUUUUUAAUUUGGGAACAUGUGGAACUUUGAAAAAUGUAAGCUUCUCCAAUCCUACUAGUUGUUUUAUUGCAUUGAAUUUCAAGUAUAGGCAGAGCAUUAAGUAUUUAGAAAAGUUAGAGAGCUUGUUCUAUUUUCAAUUUCAGUGAAAUAGCUAAACAGGGAGAUUCCUAAUUAAGGAUCUUGUGAACUCAUAAACCUACUGAGAAGCAACAAUUGAUUAGGGAAACUAAGAACAGAAUCAUUAGUGACACCUAUAAUUAUUAGUAUUCAUGAUAUAAUAAAUUACUAUUUUCUUUAUUCAGAAAAAAUCUGUUGGCUGUAAUCUCAAGUAGUCAUGCUGGCUGCAAUCUCCAGUAGACUGGAGUUCAUUGCAGUUUCUCAGUGAAUACGUACCCCAGUCUACUAACAUGUCGAUAAUUUCCCAUUAAGUUGGAGAUCAUUGUUCAGGAGGUGUAUAGCCCAAUACCAACAGGAAUACAAACCUAUGGAAGUCAGUGAAAUAUGACACUAAAUAUUUCAAGUGACCUAAAGGGAAGCAGUUGCCACUAGAAUUUUUUUGACAAUGGUAAAUUUAUUGACACUAGAAUUUGAAGUGUUGCUAUUGUGAAACUGGGAGAACAUGGAUAGUAAAGGUAAACAAAUAAAGGCAAUUGGCUUACGAAUCAAGCAAUUGAAACCACAGACUCUCUGCUUCAUCCGGAUCCAAGCGGGGACUAUUCCUCUGGCACAGUCUAAUACAAGUGCGCAAAAUCUAUAGUAUGUCAAUGACCUGCAACAAGAUUUAAUGUUGAAGCACUAGACCUAACAAGACAAAUCAUAUCAUGAAAGAGGAUAUUAGAGGGAAAAUACCUUUUUCUUUCUUAAAAUAGCUUUGAAAUGUUCCGGAGCCGUAUCACAACGUUCACUUUCAACAGCAGUAUCAAGUAGGAUGAAUUUUUCAUUGAGUGAAGAUAUAAGAAGGAGAAGAGCACUCCCGAUGUCACCAACCCUUUCUAACAAGAAAACAGCUGCAUCGAUAACUCCAUACUCUUGGCAUAUAUGCAAGCAGCGUUCCACCCUAUAGCUUUUGGAAGUCUCCAAGAAUCUGAGAACUGACUUACGCUCGUACCCACAUAAUAGCUACAUACAAAAAAAUUAUAAGGAAGCCGCUGCACUUAGAUAGCAGUAUAAGACAAAAUUGCAUCAGCAGGACCUAAGUCAGAAUCUCACAACUAAGGCUCUAAAUAGAAGUGACUUCUGAAGCAGACUUCUAAGCAAAAGCUCUAUAUUCUGGUAGUUAAAGUCACAAACAGCAGACUGUUGAACUAAAAAAAUUUUGAUUAAUUUAUUUGGAUCAAUAAAACAGAGACUAAGAAAACAAAACAGAUUUACAUCUUAAGAAGAUGCAGGCUACCAUCAAAACAGAUUUACAGCUUGCUCAAAGCUAGAGCAAAAACUUGCUACACCAAAAAACCUAGAAAGAUUUUAUCUAGCAUCCUCUAUGCCCUCCUCUUUACAUUACACCAAAAAAAGAAAGUCCUCAUGCAGUUCCAUUUAAUUUUCUGAACUGAUUCAGUAGUAUUCUCAAAGCAUCUCUUGUUUCUUUCUUUCCAAAUUGUCCACCAUAUGCUGGGGGGAUCAUAUUCCACCACUUCUUCUGACUUUUACUCACUCCUCUCCUAGUCCAGCAGCUUAGAAGGUCAACAGUAUGUUCUGGCAUAGUCCAUCUAGUUUGUGUCAAGUCCAAGUAUAAUGCCCACAACUGGGAAGUUAUUUUGCAAUGUAGAAACAAAGGAUUAUUUGUCUCAUUUGUUUCAUUACAAAGGGAGCAGCAAGAUGCUAUAUGGAAAAGCUUUUCAUGGGUGAGACAGGCCCUUCUAGCGACUAACCAUGAAAAACAUCUAACCUUGACUGGUACCUUGUUCUUCCAAAUCUUCCCCCAAGGGCCACUAAUCUUCCCUGGUAGAGCUUUCACUUUUUCUUUGGUAAAUAAACAAAUUUUAUUUAAUACCAAAAUGUGCAUACAAUCCUUAGUCAGGGGCAGACCCCCUGUCUCUCAACUAGUAGAUAAAACUAAACUUUGCUAGAUACUAAAGAAUACAUGAGGCUUAGCAAAACACUAUGAAAAAAAAUUAUCACGCCUGUUUCCGUUUAGCUCUAGCUUCAUGUAAUGGAUACGUGUUCAGCUGCUGUAGAAUGGCCUUCCAUUGCUAUAGUUCACUGCCUCUGGUAAGUAAAAAAAGAGCUACUUCUCUACACACCCUGUUAGGCUCAUAGCACCCUUGCUGGAAUCUUUGUAAAUUUCGUUCUCUCCAAAUCACAUGUAUCACCAUUGCAAAAGGACAACUGGUGAGACUACCCAUGCCCGUCCUCUUAUUUGCCAGGUUAACUACCCAAUUUACCUCCGUUUACCAGGGACCAAUGGGUCAGUACCUCAAUCCACUGUAGAAGUUGUUGCCAAAGCUGUUGCGUGAUACUACAUUCAAAGAGAAAGUGCUCUCUUGUCUCGUCUGCAGCCUUACAAAAUACGCAGGUAGGGGGUACCACUAUACCAAAUUUUAUCAGUCUUUCUAUUGUAGACAGUCUCUUGUGCAAAGCCAACCAUAAAAAGAAUUUGUGUUUGGGGUGGAUAGCCGGCUGUUGUGCCUCCUCCAGUGCAUUUUUGGGAGUGUUGGAGUUAGGGAGGUGUACGUUUUCUUGAUUAAGAACUUGUUCCCUCUUACCGCUGUGUGUAGUCGUUCUACAACUCCACCAUGUAAAGAAUUGAUAUUGAGGUGCAUCUUCCUGAACUCGAUAAUCCUUCUGACAACCCACGUUGCAUUCUUUGGUAUCUCAAAGUUGUCCAACGAUUCCUACUUCAUAUAGAAUAUGCGAAACCAUUUCACCCACAAACAAUCCUUUUUGUUAGCCAGAGCCUAAAGUUGUUUCAUUAUUGCAGCCUUAUUAUUCAGUACAUUUAGUCUUGUUGCUCUGGAUCGACACACCUUUUCCCAAGACACGAGAGCCCUUUUGGAGAUCGCCACUGAACCUAUCCAUAGAAAGGUUCUACAGGAAUUUUCAACAAGUUUUCGGAUUCUCUUGGGGAGAACAAAGAUUUAUGCCCAAUAUGUUAGUAGACCAAAGAUCACUGCUUUUAUAAGUUGCAGCCUCCCUGCAUAAGUGAGUAUCUUUGUUGUCCAACAAGUAAUCCUUUCGACAAUCCUGUCAACAAGAGGCAUGCAUUGCUCCACUGUUAGUUUUUUUGAGGAUAUGGGCACCCCUAGAUACCGAAAUGGUAAGGAGCCCUCAACAAAACCCAGCUCUCUUAGAAUUCCUUGCUUCUCCUGAUCUUCAACUCCACUCAUAUAUAUGGAGCUUUUCUCUGUAUUUGCCUGUAGACCUGUCACUUCGGAGAACUUAGAGAAGGCAUCAAACAUCAACUUUACCGAGAGAACAUCAGUAGAUCAUCGGCAAAACAUAUAUGCAUAAACCCCAACUACCCGCAUCUAGGGUGGAACUUAAACAUAGGAUGAGUAGCUACCUCAUUAAGUUCUCUUUGAAGGUACUCCAUUACAAUCACAAAAAGAUAUGGUGACAUUGGGUCACCCUGUCGUAUGCCUCUUUUUCCUUGAAAUUGUUUGGUAAGACCUCCAUUAAUGACUAGAGAAUACGACAUUGAAGUGACACAAUCCAUAAUCCAUCGAAUGAAUUUGAAUGGGAAACCAAGAUUUGCAAACAUAUUCUUUAGGAAUUCACACUUAAUCGAGUCAUAGGAUUUGCGUAAAUCCAAUUUCAUCACACAUCUUGGAAAGAGUCCUUUCCUAGAGUACCAUUUUAAAAGUUCAUGACUAAACAAUAUAUUGCCGAUUAUGCUCCUUCCCUCUAUAAAGGCAGUUUGUGAGGAACUAAUAAUUGUAUUAAUCACACUUUUAAUACGGUUGGUAAGGAUCUUUGUGAUUAGUUUAUAGAAUGUGGUACAAGCAGCGAUGGGUCUAUAAUCUUUCACAUAGGUUGGGAUUUUAACCUUUGGAACCAAGGUAAGGGAUGUGCAACUGAAGGUUUUAAGUAGUUUACCAGAUGAGAGGAAUUCAGCUACUGCAUUCCUCACACAGACUUUUAUCACGUCCCACUGUUGAGUGAAGAACUCUACUGGGUAACCAUCAACUCCAGGGGACUUCCCAGCUGGCAUCACCUUUAGAGCAACCCGAAUUUCUUCCAUAGUUACAGCUCUAAUCAGGGAACAUUUCUGGGAGUAGGCCAGGCAUGGACCUUUACUGAUGAUCUCUGCGUCAGGGCAAGGUAGCUCACUGGUAGAGGUACCCAUUUGUUGGGUGAAGACAGACGUGAAUUCCUUCUCGAUCAUAUCAGAUGCAAUUAGGUUAAUGCCCUGUUCUGUAUACACAACAGAUAUAGCAUUCCUGUGAGCUCUUAAUUUGCAUUGAGAAUGAAAAUAACUGGUGUUUGAGUCCCCAUAUUUUAUCCAAGUUGCUCUUGAUUUUUGCCUAAGAGCUUGUUCCUCGACAGUACCCCAUUUUAGAAUAUCCUGUUGUACUUGCCUACCUUUGUCUAUCAAGGACUGAUCUUGUGGGUUGAGUAGUAGUUGACUUUGAACAAUGUUUAGACUUUCCCUGGCUGCUUUCAAUCUCUGAUCAUAGGAAGCCAAAUAAGAGUUCAAUCCCUUAACCUCCAAUACUGAAUUUUUUCCAUCGUUGUCGUGCCUCCCAUCUUACUGAGUUAGCUUCCAAAUUUAUGCCCUUAAAACCAUUUAGAGUCUGUGGCAGAUCAACUACUUUUCCUAUUUCCCAGUCAUUCAAGAGUCUUCUAAAGCUCAGAUUCCAUCCUUGAAGAGAUCAUAUUUCGUUAUGGCAUUUGGAUUGGUACUAAGAAUGGACAGAUCAGGAUAGGAAGCCUUAGAGGUUCCUGACCAAUCCAUAGUUCUUUCCAAAACUUAAUUCUGGUUCCGAUGCCUACUUUGGAAGUGAUAUCCCUGACCAACUGCCUCCACAAGCUCCUAAUUGUUUCCAAACUGAAACCCCGUACGUAGUGUUGACUGAAUUUGAGCACCACUGCUCAUUUUGACCAUAUUUGCUGACAAUCACUUCCCUCCAAAGAGCUUGCUCCUCAUUUCCAAAUCUCCACAACCACUUGGUUAACAGACAAUUAUUUUGCAACCUCAAAUUUCUUAUGCCAAGACCUCCAUUACUUUAGCUCAGUUGAGCAGUUUUCCACUUUACCAAAUACUCAUUUCAAGAUAGGUAAUGGUAAGUACAUCAGGUUCUAGUCUCUAGAAAGAUAAAUGGCUCAAAAAUAACACUCUAAUAGAGGAAUUCCAGCAGCUAUACCUUUUCAUCACAUCUCCACAUGCUUCUGUAAGUCAUUGUAAAAUAACCCAUGUUGCUCGGACUCUUCAAAAAUGUCAACAGGUGCAUGUCGGAUUCUCCAAAACUAAGGUAUUUUUGGAGAAUCCGACAUGGUGCGGCAUUGAAAGUGAAGAGUCCACGCAACUUAGAAAAUAACAGGCAAAUUGAGCUUCAUUUGCAGAAGAAAUAUUCAAGACUGGGAAUGGAAGAAGUGGUAAAUCUUAUGUCAAAGCUAGAAGAAGUAACAGUCAACCCCCUCAUGAUGGACAAGUUGAUGGAGCUAUAGUAAAAAUGGUACGUUUACAGUGAAUCAUGCGACUUCAAUAUGUUCAGCAGCAACAGGAUAAAAGAUUGAUCAUGGAAGCUAGUAUGGAAGGUCAAAAUACCUACUAAGAUCGCUUGCUUCAGUUGGAUAGUGUUAUCUGGUGCUUGUUUAACAAAUGAAACUUUGAUAAGGAGGAGCCUCUCACUCAGCAGUAGCCGCUAUAUGUGCCUAUAGCACUCUGAAGAUGCAUGCCACCUCCCUAUAUCACUGUCAGAUAGCGAGAGCGGUAUGCCAUAUGUUCUUCUACCUUUUUGGGUUACACUGGGUAAGACGCUUUCAAAACAAAACAAGGUAGUCCACAGAAUUGGGUAUAGUGUCAGUAAGUCCAUCCAGAAGGUAUGGCAGAUGGUACCAGAUGGCAGAUGAUACCAGAUUGCACUUUUUGAUGCUUAUAGACUGAAAGAAAUCACAGAUGCUACGGACUACUAACUCCCACAAUAUCCUAAAAGCUAAGAUUCUUUGUAAGCCUUGUUUAAUGGAGUAGGCCAUGUUGUACAUAAUUUUUAUCAAUUUUUUUACUUUGUUAGCUCCUUCGGCAACAUACAGAGAGCCAACUCUAUAUUGCUCUAGGCUAUAAUUUUCAGUAUCAUCUUGACGCAUUUUCAAUGGAACUCCAGUUACGUGAUCCAGGAAAAAAAAAUAGAACAGUCGAGCAGGUAUGUCCAUCGAUACAUAUCUGGAGAAAGUUCAUGCUCAAUAAGCUGAAAUGAUAUUAAAGGAGAAGAAAGUGAACUAGAAAGGCUUUCUCACUUAUAUAAGAUCAAAAGUAACUUUUAUCAAUGUAUGAGAACGAGUGUAAAAUUCUAUACGAAACAAAAUUAUUUUCCUUGUUUAGACAACAUUUGACUUUUGUGUGAAACACCCAAAGACACCUUUUUUGCUAAUUAGGUUAAAUUAUCUUGCACAAGGUAUAGAAUAGGAGCAAGGAAGUAAGUAGGCAUAGAGAGGGAUCCUAGAAAAGAACUGGCAUUGAGACAGCAAAACUUUUGGAGACAGGCACACACCCGUUGACAUUUUUGAAAAGUCCAAGCAACAUAGGAAAAAAUUACUUCUAACAAGCUUCUACAUAGACACUACCUAGUUGAGAACAAUACUCACCUCAAUAUAAAGCUCUGUCGUUUGAUCAGUUAUGACUGUCACAUCCCUUUUUCGCCCGAAGGGAUCGAGUCGAAGGAUUUUUUCAAUUAAAGUGACGGUAUUGAAUAGGGAUUAGUUUUUUUUAAUCAUUUUCAGAGUCGCCACUUGGAAUUGAGUUAUGGUGUUCCAAGUCACCUUAUUGAAUCCCUAAUCAAAAGGAAAUGACUCUUUGUUGGUUUGCGAAAAUAGAAGAUCGGGUAUGGAAUUCUGAUGACUGAGGGGAAGGUGUGAGGCACCCUCGAGUCCCGUGGUUCAAGUACGAUCGCUUUUAUUAACUUAUACUUAGCUUUAAUUAUUUUGAUAAGUUAUGUUAAGGCCUAAAAUUCGCUCAUUUUUAUUAUACCGAAAAUAUUUGUUUACACUUCUUAUAUUAUACAAAUAGGUGAAAAUUAAUUUUAGAAAAAUAUUUGUAAGGUGCAUAUUGCAUCCUUAAAUUUUUAAAUGUCUCAGAAAGAUGCGUACGCCCUAUUUUUAAUUGAAACAAAUAUUUUAAACAUGCCAAAAAUUUAUCUAACGCCAAAAUAUUGAUUUAUCUUAUUUGUAAAAAAUCAUAGCAAUUUAUCUUUUCAAAAUGAUACUUAAUCUUAAAAGUGAACUAAAAUAAUAUUUCAUUUAAAAUAAUUAAUUAGUUUAAAUAAUAGAAAUAAUAAAACCUUAUUAAUAUAAAACUAAUAAAAUAAUAUAAUAGUAAAAAUAUAGAAUAAAACAAAGUGAUUUAUGUUAUACAAAUCUUGUCCACUAAUUUGUAAAAUAAACUACACAUAUCUGUAAACAUACACGCAUAAUACAACUGACCCAUUUUCUUUCAAUAAUAACAGUACCAACGUAUGAUGACGAUUUUGACAAUUUAUCAUCGUUUUCGAUGGGAUCAAAUACAAAGGGAUCGACGGUGCGGAGCCAUUACAGCCAUGGAUGGUUGGUCGUCGCUACAGCGAUUCCUCGGAUGUUGUCGGAUCCAUGAAGGGAUUGGCCGGAGAAGGCGCUAACGACGGGAAAAGGGGGGGUAUUAUCGCAGGAAGGAAAAAGGGAAGGGGGCGGCGCCAAUUUGGUGGAUGACGGCGAUGAGAGAGGGCGGCAGAUCUGGGAAAUGGGAAGGGGAAGGCGGCAUCCCCGCUGUCUCGCCGGUAGGAUGCGCAAAAGGGUGACAUUAAUGAUUCUGGCGAGAACCAAUCAGGGUAAACUCGAAAAUGGAUCAGUUUUGAUGAUUUUUUUUUUUAGUUUCUUAUCUGAUUUUUGAAAGUACAUGCUACAUUCCGGUGAGAGAACGAUUCUGACAAAGAUAGUUUUGCAAAUAAAUUUCAUUUUUUUGUGUCUCUGUAUAUACAUGUCGAUCUAUUUUACAGUAAAAGAAAAUUAAAGAAUGUGUCGUUACUGUGUAUACGAAUGUGAAUCAGUGUACAUAGAAAUUAACUGAUAAAUAUGUAUGCAUAUAGCAGUGUAUGGAAUAAUAACAGUGUUCAUUUUAUUAUUUUGUUUAGCAUAUCGAAAUCUAACAUUCAUAUAAGCAUUCCAUAAUUUAAUAUAUCAUACAUAAUAACAAAUAAAUUCAUAUUCUGGUUUCUAAUAAAAUUUAAUACAGUAAGGAAUAUAGGAUUAUAGAAGAACCUGUUGAUGACUUAAACAAACAUACAGCAAGAAACAUUGUCACCGGAAAUUUCAGAACGGAAUUACAAAACUUGAAUCACAACCCUUUCUUUCCUUCUUUCUCCUUCUAAGUUUUCUUUACUGUAUUUUUCUCUCUGCUUUUUUCUACCAUUUUUUUUUUGUCUCUAGAUGACUGUCAAUGUACGUUCCCUUUUUCUGAAAAGGGGAAAAAUUCUUUUAUAAUGAGACUCUUGGGAGGGAACAAUUAUUAUUUUAGGGGGAGUAGUUAUUUUUUAGGCUGAUAUAGAUAGGAUUUAAAAUUUAAACUACUUAAUUAAUAAUUUUUAUUUUUAAAACUAGAAGAUGAUAAUAAUAAUAAUAAUAAUAAUAAAUAAAUAAAUAAAUAAAGAUAAUAAAAAAUAAUAAUAAUAAAUAUAAAUAUAAUUAAUUUUUAUAUUUAACAAAACAUAAUGAAAAUUUAUAAAUAACCAAAAUAAAUAUAAUAAGAUAAUAUUUAAACUACUAAUUUAUUUAUUAAAAUUUAGAAAACAAAAAUAUAUAUUUUUUUGAUUUUUUUUUGUAAAUAUCUCAAAAUUAACUUUAUUUAAUUAUUUAAUUUUAAACUAAAAAUUUAUUAAAAAUAAAAAUAAGAAUCAAAAUAAUAUAUGAUCAAGUAUAUAAAUAUAAAAUAUUUAAUAUCGAUAAACAAGUUAAAAUUUAGGGAGGGUCAAAAAUCACGUGUCUACAAUGACAAUUGGAUAGUUCUGCAUGAGCUUAGGUAAGUCAGACAAGGUUUCCAGGUAGGCUUCAGAGAACAUAUGUUUCUUCUUUCUUCCACGGGGAAAGUCUGAAGCAUUAUCUUGUCUUAAAGAAGAGAAGUUCAGGGUGCCUGUUGAAUGAACUUCAAUGAGUGUCUUCAGAUAAAGGAAAAGACUUUCUGGAUUAGAUUGCAGUUGAGAAAAAUGUAAUCACGCUCCUCUCCAAAAUGACUGACAAUCAGAAAAAAAGUUCCUUCCCUGCAGAAUCCCAAAAUUAGAAAGAUUUUUCAGCACUCUGUGAUUAUCCUCUAAAAUAUGUUGUUAAACAGAUUGCAGCUGGCAUAGAAUGAACUUCAUCUCAUGAAAAUCCAACUUGAAUAUGAAUGACAAACGUUGUGGAAUUGUAUUGCAACCUGUUCAACUUGAGUAGAUCUGGGAUUCGAGAAAUGACUGCUGAUCUGAAAGCAUCAGAUUCUUUGCCUCUCAGUUGCCGCAACAUGUCAUCAACAAAUACAAAAGCAAGAAUAGGCCCAUCAACAACUUUCAUAAAACUGUCCAAAAUAGAAAGAUACUGAUGUGUGAUGGCAUGAAUUAAGCUGCAGACCUAAAAUAAGUAGCAUGUCCUCUCAAAUAAUUGAAUUCAUUGAUAGUUGACAGAAGAACACGGAACAGAAAGAGUUGGCAAGGAAAAGUACUUGAUGCAGCUGACCCCUCUCACAUAGAUUCAGUAAGCAAUCUGCAUCCCAGUCUUCCUCUGGCAAAACUUCUAUAAGUGCAGUCAGUUGCUUUUGUUUCCUAUUGAAGGUUUCAAAUAUCAGCCUAGAAUCAUUGAGGUAAGUUUCGUUACCCAGUGUCAGGUACUCAAAAAUUUGACUAAGGGUAUGUCAUGACCCGAACUGAGGCCCUGGCCGUGACGAGCAUUCCCGAACCCGAAGGCCCGGAACGCCCUCUAUCUAUCUGGUAAUCAUGCACAUAAUUCAUAUGAUCACAGUAAUAUGGAAUAGACACAAUAAUAUGAAAACAUGGUCAACAAUAUUUAAUAAACAUCUGCAACAGUCUGCGAAAUCUCUACUGACAUACUAUCUGAAUAACUGGGACAAGGCCCCAGCAGACCAAAAGCCAUACUGAAAUAAAUACCUAAAUGACUAGGCCUUUUAAAGCAAAAAAGGCUCACCAACUGAACUCUGAGACAACCCUGUCUGUAGACUCUACUGAGGAUCUGGACCCCUAGACUGCGCCUCAGUACUUGGGAGGAAGGGGGGUCAACACAAUUAUACUGGCACGCGAAGUAAUCCAAAAUAGAGUAACUGAACAUAUAUAUAUAUAUACAUACAUAUAUAUAUAUAUAUAAUACGUGAGAGAAAAUGUUCAUCAAAUAUUAUGCAUAAAACAGUUUCUGAANNNNNNNNNNNNNNNNNNNNNNNNNNNNNNNNNNNNNNNNNNNNNNNNNNNNNNNNNNNNNNNNNNNNNNNNNNNNNNNNNNNNNNNNNNNNNNNNNNNNNNNNNNNNNNNNNNNNNNNNNNNNNNNNNNNNNNNNNNNNNNNNNNNNNNNNNNNNNNNNNNNNNNNNNNNNNNNNNNNNNNNNNNNNNNNNNNNNNNNNNNNNNNNNNNNNNNNNNNNNNNNNNNNNNNNNNNNNNNNNNNNNNNNNNNNNNNNNNNNNNNNNNNNNNNNNNNNNNNNNNNNNNNNNNNNNNNNNNNNNNNNNNNNNNNNNNNNNNNNNNNNNNNNNNNNNNNNNNNNNNNNNNNNNNNNNNNNNNNNNNNNNNNNNNNNNNNNNNNNNNNNNNNNNNNNNNNNNNNNNNNNNNNNNNNNNNNNNNNNNNNNNNNNNNNNNNNNNNNNNNNNNNNNNNNNNNNNNNNNNNNNNNNNNNNNNNNNNNNNNNNNNNNNNNNNNNNNNNNNNNNNNNNNNNNNNNNNNNNNNNNNNNNNNNNNNNNNNNNNNNNNNNNNNNNNNNNNNNNNNNNNNNNNNNNNNNNNNNNNNNNNNNNNNNNNNNNNNNNNNNNNNNNNNNNNNNNNNNNNNNNNNNNNNNNNNNNNNNNNNNNNNNNNNNNNNNNNNNNNNNNNNNNNNNNNNNNNNNNNNNNNNNNNNNNNNNNNNNNNNNNNNNNNNNNNNNNNNNNNNNNNNNNNNNNNNNNNNNNNNNNNNNNNNNNNNNNNNNNNNNNNNNNNNNNNNNNNNNNNNNNNNNNNNNNNNNNNNNNNNNNNNNNNNNNNNNNNNNNNNNNNNNNNNNNNNNNNNNNNNNNNNNNNNNNNNNNNNNNNNNNNNNNNNNNNNNNNNNNNNNNNNNNNNNNNNNNNNNNNNNNNNNNNNNNNNNNNNNNNNNNNNNNNNNNNNNNNNNNNNNAUAUGAUUUUUCUAUGCCCAUGAGAAUUUAGGAAAAUCCCGCGUACCUCUAUUUCGAAAAAUAAUGGGUGCUUCUUGAAGCGUGUGGAUUGGGGAUUCCGAAUCUCUAAUCAAUUUUGAAAACCCAUGGUUAAAUCUUGAUUUAUUUGGGUUUUUAGUUUGAAAUCGUUAGGACUGUUCUUCAGAAUUUUUAGAUGAAUGUGGAUGUAUUUUGGAGAAUUGGGGGCUGAAUUUCGUGUUUAUGGCUGAAUAAGGGUGGGAAAAGAACCAUUUUGCCCAGAAAACGGAGUGUUAAGUCACUUGAAACCAUAGGAUAUGCGCCGCAUAUAAUAUCGCAUAUAUUUACAUAGGCGCCGCAUAUGAUAUCGCCUAUAUUUACAUAGGCGCCGCAUAUGCUUUCCAGUGGCCAUGUGCGAUUGGUUAGGCGACGCAUACUACUUUGAAAGGCCAUAACUUCUUGCUCGGGUGUCGGAUUUUAGCAAAAUUUGUAUCAUUGGAAAGUUAACUCAAAGACAUAUCAUUUGACAUAUAGUAGGCUUUCUAAUUCGACAUAUACAGAGAGUUAUGGUCGAUUGAAGCUGACAUAAAUUACAACGUCCAUUAAAACUUAAUCAAUCGAAAUAGUUUCAACUCGUCCUUGAGUUGAAGGACCUCUAUGGUCUANNNNNNNNNNNNNNNNNNNNNNNNNNNNNNNNNNNNNNNNNNNNNNNNNNNNNNNNNNNNNNNNNNNNNNNNNNNNNNNNNNNNNNNNNNNNNNNNNNNNNNNNNNNNNNNNNNNNNNNNNNNNNNNNNNNNNNNNNNNNNNNNNNNNNNNNNNNNNNNNNNNNNNNNNNNNNNNNNNNNNNNNNNNNNNNNNNNNNNNNNNNNNNNNNNNNNNNNNNNNNNNNNNNNNNNNNNNNNNNNNNNNNNNNNNNNNNNNNNNNNNNNNNNNNNNNNNNNNNNNNNNNNNNNNNNNNNNNNNNNNNNNNNNNNNNNNNNNNNNNNNNNNNNNNNNNNNNNNNNNNNNNNNNNNNNNNNNNNNNNNNNNNNNNNNNNNNNNNNNNNNNNNNNNNNNNNNNNNNNNNNNNNNNNNNNNNNNNNNNNNNNNNNNNNNNNNNNNNNNNNNNNNNNNNNNNNNNNNNNNNNNNNNNNNNNNNNNNNNNNNNNNNNNNNNNNNNNNNNNNNNNNNNNNNNNNNNNNNNNNNNNNNNNNNNNNNNNNNNNNNNNNNNNNNNNNNNNNNNNNNNNNNNNNNNNNNNNNNNNNNNNNNNNNNNNNNNNNNNNNNNNNNNNNNNNNNNNNNNNNNNNNNNNNNNNNNNNNNNNNNNNNNNNNNNNNNNNNNNNNNNNNNNNNNNNNNNNNNNNNNNNNNNNNNNNNNNNNNNNNNNNNNNNNNNNNNNNNNNNNNNNNNNNNNNNNNNNNNNNNNNNNNNNNNNNNNNNNNNNNNNNNNNNNNNNNNNNNNNNNNNNNNNNNNNNNNNNNNNNNNNNNNNNNNNNNNNNNNNNNNNNNNNNNNNNNNNNNNNNNNNNNNNNNNNNNNNNNNNNNNNNNNNNNNNNNNNNNNNNNNNNNNNNNNNNNNNNNNNNNNNNNNNNNNNNNNNNNNNNNNNNNNNNNNNNNNNNNNNNNNNNNNNNNNNNNNNNNNNNNNNNNNNNNNNNNNNNNNNNNNNNNNNNNNNNNNNNNNNNNNNNNNNNNNNNNNNNNNNNNNNNNNNNNNNNNNNNNNNNNNNNNNNNNNNNNNNNNNNNNNNNNNNNNNNNNNNNNNNNNNNNNNNNNNNNNNNNNNNNNNNNNNNNNNNNNNNNNNNNNNNNNNNNNNNNNNNNNNNNNNNNNNNNNNNNNNNNNNNNNNNNNNNNNNNNNNNNNNNNNNNNNNNNNNNNNNNNNNNNNNNNNNNNNNNNNNNNNNNNNNNNNNNNNNNNNNNNNNNNNNNNNNNNNNNNNNNNNNNNNNNNNNUUACUUACCACCACUAUCAUCACAUAAGGAGGAGUCACAAAAAGGUUAGAACAUAAGAUCUGGAGGCAUGAAAUGAUACUAUAUGAAGCUUGACACUCAUCUGAGGCUCGAGGAAUAGCAAAACAACAAUAGGGACUCUAUAAAGCGCUAUGAAUUUAGGGUAUUCAUGGCUAUAAGCUGAAUCUCGCCAAUCAUUUGGCGUAAAACAUGAGUUAUGGAAACGGAGCAUAUUAUAAAGCGUGAGUACAUGACUCUCAAUCAUAUUUAUGAACGUGAACUGAUCAUGGAACUAAAUCGUAAAGCAUGAGUAGGUAUUAGGAUCACUGAAAAAUACUGAGAUAGGAAUGGGUUGAGAUUCACCCCUACUUUUUGAUGUUCUAUAUCAUCAUGACAUCACUACAAGAAUCUGAAAGUCUUACUUGGUUAUUCGUUUAGUCAUCUCCCCUUAGCUUCAAGCCAUCAUCUUAAGUUUUUGGGAGAUACCUUACUAGACUUUAAACUUAACUGCACUCACUGCACUUUGGGUUCUGAAAUAUGACAAUACAAAAAAUUAACCCAAAAGACUACAAUAAGAGUGGAACACCCACUGCUAAUACUACCUCCUAAGGCACACUCUAUCAUUCUAUAAUCCCAAUAGUCAUCAUCUAUUACUCGAAUACUUACUAACUUCGAAUCUUUAUGAGUAUCCCCAAAGUUGAAGUGCACACCCUCUAGUGCCUCUACUCUUAUUUCUAUUUGCACGACUUUCAAGGACUAGAGCUUAGAUUAUAACAAAAUACUGAGAUAGGAAUGGGUUGAGAUUCACCCCUACUUUUUGAUGUUCUAUAUCAUCAUGACAUCACUACAAGAAUCUGAAAGUCUUACUUGGUUAUUCGUUUAGUCAUAUCCCCCUUAGCUUCAAGCCAUCAUCUUAAGUUUUUGGGAGAUACCUUACUAGACUUUAAACUUAACUGCACUCACUGCACUUUGGGUUCUGAAAUAUGACAAUACACAAAAUUAAUAAAACUUUACUCGAAAUACCACACAUGAGAGUGGAAUGCCUACUGCUAAUACUACUUCCUGAGGCACACUCUAUCAUUCUGUAACCCCAAUAGUCAUCAUCUAUUACUCGAACACUUACCAACUUUGAAUCUUCAUGAGUAUCCCCAAAGUUGAAGUGCACACCCUCUAGUGCCUCUACUCUUAUUUCUAUUAGCACAACUUUCAAGGACUCGAGCUUAGAUUAUAACACCUAACAUGGNNNNNNNNNNNNNNNNNNNNNNNNNNNNNNNNNNNNNNNNNNNNNNNNNNNNUCCUCUAACAUGAGAGUCAAGUUCAUAUCAAAAGGCUCAACGCUAUCAAUCAAAGGUCCUUAAAUUGGCUAUUUAGAACACCAUAUACCAUCUAUCUAGUCUUUUUCCACCUAGCAACUCAACGGUACCAAUAGCCACACACAACAUGUAAUAGCCUUAGAAAACUACUACAGCUUCAUACGGGUCAUAAAAAUAGAAAGGCAUGAAUUGCGCAAGAAGUUCUUUCGGUUAAAAUGUCGUGCGACUCGGAGGACAUAAGACUUCUUGGUCAAGCCAAAAAGAUUGCCGACUGGAUGCUCCUAUCCCACUAUGCCUGGCCGGUGACACGGUAAAGGUUGAACCAUCAACAACUCUGAGUGCCCCAAAAAGUCUUAAGUUCCUAUUAACCACUUUCCCAACAAGGCUUUUUUUUCCAGCUCUUCUGACUAUGCUUUCCAUGGUAGGCUGGGCAUACUUCUACAUCACAUAUACAACGUCAUACUUCAUUACGAAUCAAAUAAACUUAGGCACUUGCAUACACUGUUCAAGCCUAUAGAUCACUUCCAUAUAACUAGUAUCAUUAACCAAGAAAUCAUCACAUCCACCUCCAUAGCCAUCAAUUGUUUCAAACUUAAUGUUUAGUGCUAAACAUGAUUUAAAACCAGCCUUACACACAAUCCUCACUUAGAAACUAUGAAANNNNNNNNNNNNNNNNNNNNNNNNNNNNNNNNNNNNNNNNNNNNNNNNNNNNNNNNNNNNNNNNNNNNNNNNNNNNNNNNNNNNNNNNNNNNNNNNNNNNNNNNNNNNNNNNNNNNNNNNNNNNNNNNNNNNNNNNNNNNNNNNNNNNNNNNNNNNNNNNNNNNNNNNNNNNNNNNNNNUUACCCCAAUGGGCAUUUAGACUACCUUCAGAUACCCCAUAUGACAAUGAGUCUAUACUUAUAACCUACUGGCUAAUCUAGCCAUUUUCAUUCAUAGCCUAUAAGGGGUUUCUAUAACCACCUUAAGUAUCCACUCUGGGCUCUUUCUCUAUUUUGAAAGAAAGAAAACAAAUAACAUUCUAAGUCAACACUUCCUCCAUGGACUACUAUACAAUUCAUAAAUGGUACACCACAUUAGUCUACCACCAUGAAAGGGUAAAUCAUUCUCAAUCAAUGGUUAUUCAACUAUAAAUAUUUAAUCACAAAAGUCACCCUCACUCGGACCUCUAACCUUGUGACUUCAUAUUAUAAACUUCUUGGUCUAAUUUCACUACCAAUAGGUCAUGACACCGACACUCUAACUUAUACUACUACUUGAGUGGAAAUACAGUUCCAACAAACAUAAGAACAACAAGAUGAACAACAAGUUGCUAGUGAAUCAAAAUAGGUAUCACACGACUUCACUAGACUUUGAUUUUUAUGUUUUGAAGAAGAAUAAGAUAAAUGACAAGGCAACUAUGCUAGUGAAUCGAAAUAGGCCUCACACGGCUUCACUAGACUUUUGUUUUCAACAACACAAUGAUAUCAAGAUUACAAGAGAUAGAAGCUUGAUACACAAUAUUCAAUGACUCAAGAAUACACAUCUUACUCUUGUCUACUGAAUGCCUUAUAAGAACGAGGACACAAUUUUACACUUGGGAACUUCUCUCCCGUCCUUUGUGGGACUUCUGAAAUUUCUGCUAGAUAAUCAGAGAAUAUCUAGAAACACCAGAGUGAGGAAGAAAUUAGGAUAACUUUCUUUUCAUAUGGGUGAUACCAUAGCACAAAUUAGAGUAUGAAGGAGGAACAUUCUGACUCUAUAGCACAAACUAGAACAUGAAGAAAGAGAGACAUUCCUAAACGCCUAGUAGCCUCCCACUUAUAAGUGUGGCGCGCUACAUACCCAUAAACAAGACUCUACCCGAUGUAAUUUCGCAUAUACCUUGGGACCAUGAACCAUGCUUUGAUACCAAGUUUGUCACGACACAAACCGGGGCCUUGACCGUGAUGAGCAUUCCCGAACCCGAAGGCCCAGAACGCCCUCUAUCUAUCUGGUAAUCAUGCACAUAAUUCAUAUGAUCACAGUAAUAAGGAAUAGACACAAUAAUACGGAAACAUGGUCAACAAUAUUUAAUAAACAUCUGCAACAGUCUGCGAAAUCUCUACUGACACACUAUCUGAAUAACUGGGACAAGGCCCCCAGCAGACCAAAAGUCAUACUGAAAUAAAAACCUAAAUGACUAGGCCUUCCGAAGCAAAGAAGGAUUACCAACUGAACUCUGAGACAACCCUAUCUGUAGACUCUAUUGAGGAUUUGGACCCCUAGACUGUGCCUUAGUACCUGGGAGAAAGGGAGGGUCAACACAAUUAUAUUGACACGCGAAGUAAUCCAAAAUAGAGUAAUUGAACAUAUAUAUAUAUAUAUAUAUAAUAUGUAAGAGAAAAUGUUCAUCAAACAUUAUGCAUAAAACAUUUUCUGAAAAACAUAUCGUCACCUUCUGAAAACAUGUAACCUGUCUGUAAAUCUCAAACUCUGAUCUGUGUAUUACUUCCGAGUUAGGUGGUAUCCCCUACAAGUCUGAUAUUCCACGGGCGAUAUGGAAUCCGUCAUUGACUCGGCGGGGAAGCCUCCAACCCGAGUAUGCCACAAGGGUUGGAGUUCGUGAAUCUGAUACGCCACACGACACUUAAGUCAGCGUAUAAUAAUAUAUUCGGGUCGACAAACCACGGUUUUAGGAAAUGAGUUGCUUGAACUCAAUCCAUCUUCAGGGAACCACCUAACAUCUCUGUAUGNNNNNNNNNNNNNNNNNNNNNNNNNNNNNNNNNNNNNNNNNNNNNNNNNNNNNNNNNNNNNNNNNNNNNNNNNNNNNNNNNNNNNNNNNNNNNNNNNNNNNNNNNNNNNNNNNNNNNNNNNNNNNNNNNNNNNNNNNNNNNNNNNNNNNNNNNNNNNNNNNNNNNNNNNNNNNNNNNNNNNNNNNNNNNNNNNNNNNNNNNNNNNNNNNNNNNNNNNNNNNNNNNNNNNNNNNNNNNNNNNNNNNNNNNNNNNNNNNNNNNNNNNNNNNNNNNNNNNNNNNNNNNNNNNNNNNNNNNNNNNNNNNNNNNNNNNNNNNNNNNNNNNNNNNNNNNNNNNNNNNNNNNNNNNNNNNNNNNNNNNNNNNNNNNNNNNNNNNNNNNNNNNNNNNNNNNNNNNNNNNNNNNNNNNNNNNNNNNNNNNNNNNNNNNNNNNNNNNNNNNNNNNNNNNNNGGAUGCAUUGCAAAAUAAUUCAUAUGCUAUGAGAAAUCUAAAAAAAUUCAUAAUAAAAGGAAAUUCACCGAAAAUCAUGCUCUCAACAAGAAUUCAUUCUUAAAUAUAUGGUUUCAUACAUUCAUAUUCUUAAAUCACUUUGGGAAAGGUCAAAAGACCAAAAUAAUGAUGUUAAAACAUUUAAUACAUCAAUAUCUACAUAGAUUCAAAAACCCCAUUCUAAAACAUGAAUUUUCUAUGCCCAUGAGAAUUUAGGAAAAUCCCGCGUACCUCUAUUUCAGAAAAUAAUGGGUGCUUCUAGAAGCCUGUGGAUUAGGAUUCCGAAUCUCUAAUCAAUUUUGAAAACCCAUGGUUAAAUCUUGAUUUAUUUGGGUUUUUAGUUUGAAACCCUUGGGAGUGUUCUUGAGAAUUUUUAGAUGAAUGUGGAUGUAUUUUGGAGAAUUGGGGACUGAAUUUCGUGUUUAUGGCUGAAUAAGGGGGGGAAAAGGACCAUUUUGCCCCAAAAAUGAAGUGUUUAAGUCACUUGAAACCAUAAGAUAUGCGCCGCAUAUGAUAUUGCAUAUAUUUACAUAAGCGCUGUUCCACAUAUGAUAUCGCCUAUAUUUACAUAGGCGCCGCAUAUGCUUUCCAGUGGCCAUGUGCGAUUGCUUAGGCGACGCAUACUACUUUAAAAGGCCAUAACUUCUUGCUCGGGUGUCAGAUUUUAGCAAAAUUGAUAUUGUUGGAAAGUUAACUCGAAGACCUAUCAUUUGACACAUAGUAGGCUCUCUAAUUCGACAUAUACAGAGAGUUAUAGUCGAUGAAAGCUGAUACAAAUUACAACAUCCACUAAAACUUAAUCGAUCAAAAUAGUUUCAACUCAUCCUUGAGUUGAAGGGCCUCUAUGGUCUAAAUUCAUGCUCAAAUGGAUUCACAUACUACAUAAACAUGCCAAAUUGGCAUAGGAUUUAAGGCUCUGGGAUUAUCAACGCAUCAGAGUCAUGGUUUUUAUUCUAACCCGAAAUGCAGGGUGCUACAGGAUAUCUUUUGAAACCUUAGCUUUUUCAGAGGCAAUUAAAAAGGAAAUAAAAUCCAAUACAUUCUCGGUAUCUUUACUUGUAGGCCAAAUGUCUAUACAUCUUUCAUCUUUACUGUUAAAAGAACCACCAGUUUGGAAAUAGCUCAGAUUAAGAAUGACCGCAAGAACAUCCACUACUUUCUGAACUAAGUUUGCGCCUUCAAUAGUUGAAAUGUCUACUUCAGUUGUCUCCGUCUUUGAAUUCACUGGAUUCCAUGAAGGAUUGUAUCUUUCAUUUCCAUCCUCUACAAAUGCAUAUCGCAAAACCUCUAAGGUGGCCUCUGUGUCAAGCUCUAACAGAGAGAGCAGGUUUGGGUUUGGUCCAUCAUAAGGUAAGCACAUUGUUGUCGAAGAAUUUGGUGAACUCGCUUCUUCCAACAAAAAUUGCACAAGCUCUCUUUUAAGAGACGGCACACGUGUAGAAGGGAGUGUUCCAUGCCCUGCAACACAGUUCAUCAUCAAUUUCUUGAAGCAAAAUCACAAAAAGCACAACUAAGUAAUAAAAGAUAGAGCAUGAAAUACCACAGUAAGGUCCCCAUAAGUAGCAGAAAUGCAGAAUAGCUAAAUAGAUUUUUAAAAAUUCAUUUUGUUUCCUUCAGUAGUUCUUCAACAUAACCCCGCACCCCACCCCCAUAUUCCCAAUCCUUGUUGUUUCUCUCCUGGACAAGAUGUCGGGAUGCAUUUAUGAUUAGGAUAUUUACUGUGUCAUUCGUCAAAGACUAACUCCAGAAAGAGAAUAGGAUAUAGGCAAUACAACAUUUCACAAUAGAUAUUAUUGUGGGAAAAUAUGUAUGGGGAUCGCAAAACUACUGAAAAUUGAUUUUGAGAAUAAGAGUGGAAUAUUCCUCUGAUCUGUUAACUUUCUCGAGAUUCUCUAGCAUCUUGUUUAUCCCAGCUUUCAUAUCGCCAAAGUCACUUUCUCCUGUCCUUCGACUUCUCCUCGAACAACACUAUCUCUUUUCAUUUUUUGUUUUUUGAGAAGGUAGCAGAUUCAGUAGAUAUAUAUAAACAUCAGAAUAAAUUGUGCAGGAAACCAAAAUGUAGUUACAUCACUACAUCAGUGAUUCACUAACCAAAAAAUCCUUGAUCUGCUUAGAAGGAGUAUAAUAUAUAACAAGACUAUCUAUCUAAAACCAGUAUAACCAUACAACCAAAGUAGUUGUCUCCUUGAAGGCUCUGAUGCUAACACACAUAAUAGAAAUGUCAAGUUCUCUCAAUUUCCCUCAAGCUACGUGAAGCUGAAUGCUUUAACAGUACACGUGCAUAAAAUAAUUGACAAUUCUAUUCUUCCUUUAAUCUGGAAUCUUUCCUCAUUUGAUCUUAUACCACCAAACCUUUCAAAUUGAACUUCUUUUUUUAUUUUUUUUCAAAAUUUAACUGAUAUCACAAGAAUCAACCAUCAUGAUAGAGAAUAAAAUAGAGUUGCAAGGAUAUAGUAUGAGCAAAGUGAAACCCAAAUAUAUCCCUUUUGCUUCUGUUCUCAAGCUUAUUAAAGACAGACUAAUUUGUUCAAGCGUGCAUUGAAAAGAAGCUAUCAAAUGAGGAAAACCAUCCUAAGUUCACUCAUAUUAAGUAAUCAGUGCAUAUUGCAGACCAACCUGGAGGGAAAGACAAACCUUGGAAGCAGUACUUGAGGUAAACAAGCAUCUUGUACUGAUUCCACAGGAAAGUGAAGCUUGUUUACUCGAAACACCAAUGUGCGUUUCAAAAAAUGUUAAAUAAUGGAUGACAAUUUAGGAAUAUCACCUACUUAGAGCAGAAAAUUUACAUUAUAUGAGGAUAUCAAACUUGUAAAAGCUAUAAGUCAUGUUCAUUAGAUAAUUUAAUCCAAUAAAUGUAUCAAUUUACCCAAGAGCACUAGCACUUUCUCUUUUGCUAUCCCGCAAAAUUAAAAAGAGCUCUUCCAAAGGAGUCCGAAAAUCAUCAAGACCUUUGUUGAAUAAGUAGAUCAAUGCACCACGCAGCCUAUGCUCCCUGCAUAUGCGAACAACCUACAAAAUAGAUUAAAAAAUUAACAGUUAAAUCCGACAAAUUCACAGGGAAGACAGAAAAAUAUCCAAAUCAAGCCUAUAACGGAAGCUUUAUUUCAUUCAUGCAACUUUCUCGUGUUUGAGGACAACAGUCCUUUGCACUCAUGUCUUAUUAAUGAGAACCUUCAGGUGUGGCCGUAAAACAGUAAUCACAAAUUUUAACAUAUAAAACGUGUAGCAAUACCUGAUUGAAAUCCAGGGACAACAUGUCCAUGUGGAGAACACACUGUUCAACAAGCCGUAACCAACCUUUAGUGCUAUAGUGCUCCAUUAGUACUUGCAUUAUCUUUAGCAAUAGUGGAUAAUAGUAGAUUAGCAUCCAUAUAAUCUGCUUUUAUACAUGAAUAACAAAGCAAGUGCCUAAUAGUGACACAGUAAAGUAAUAUGAGGCAUAAAAACCCCCCCAAUUAAAAACAUGUCACAAAUCAAAACCAUAGAUAUACCUCAGGUGGUAAAGAUCCUAGCAUGUCUUUCAAUAUAUAUGGCUCCAGAAGCUCCAAAAAUGUAUUUGUACAUGGAAACAAAUAAUUUAGCCCGACUUUUAAUUUCAAUACAAUAUAACCUGUUGAAAAUUGGAGUAAAUGAGAACAGAAAAAGCCCAAAAUUCCACAGGAGGAACUGUGGAACACAAACAAAAUUAAAAUAUUAAUUAACAGUCCGCUAAACAUUUCUACUCUAUUCCCUUUUUUGAUAACAAAGGUAUCCAGGCUAGCUUAACACACCUCCACUAAUCUACUGGGUACCGCUGCCUCCCACCAGCAUGGGAACCACUAACGUUGCAAGUUAAGUCUUAGAAAGAUGAGAAGAAUUUACUUAUUGUCACCUCUGUUAGAAUUUGAACUCCAAGAUUGUCAGUGCAGCGACUACUAGGCCAAUCCCUUGGGAGCUCCAUAAGACAUCAGUUUUUACAAUUGUUCUUAUCUACAUAUAACUAGUUUCUAGACUUCCUUUGAUACAGUAAAAAUAUGGAUAUUGAAGGUUUUCUAACACAUUGGAUAAGUCAGUUACUGCAGAAAUUGAGUUCCAAAGGUUUGUGGGCAGGAGAGAGGAGGGGACUUGGGGAAGGAAAAAGUUACCAAACAAACCUGAAAUAAUUCUUUAUUCAAACUAUGUUUUUCUCAUUUUUGAUUCAAACUCUGGUUAAUAAUAUGUGUAUCCCAUUAUAUUCAAUAUCUCAUAAAUUGUUAACCUAGUUAAUUCACUAUGCUACUUGGAGGCACUCACUAAUAUAUUAUAGUUUUGUAAAAGCAAUUUUGUUUUUCAUCAAAGAGGUACCAGACAUAGAAACAAGCCCCAAAUAGUUGACAUGGGACAUAAUGCAGGACGUUGAAGUAUAAACAUACUGCACCAUACCCUUGUGAUUCACAGCAACAUACUUUGGAAAAAUUUCAUCAAAGAGAACAUCAAGUCUCUUGAUAUUAAGACAGAAUUCAAUGGAAACACCACCAACCAGAGUGUACUACUCCUUAAUAUCAGGAUUCACAAAGUUACUAUCAGUACUUCAAUUCAUUCGAUUGGCCUGACGGCCCAAGUUGGUUGCCAGAUGUCACUGCUAUGUAGGAGAAUACCUCAUCUAUAUAUGACAACAGCAGCUGUACAAGAUAUGGCAUAAGAGUCUUCUGCACAUCAUCCAAAUUCUUUGGAAGGUCAAUAACUGCAUGUGCCUGACCAUCAUAAAGAGACAUUGCCAUCUCCAGUGCACUCAUCCAAUCACCUGCUUUAUGUAAAACUUCUAUUCGUUCCUUUCAGGAAAGAAGGCGUGAAAUAACAAGCUGGGAUGGCCGAAGUAUGUACAAAGUUUCCCCCCUAACACCUACACAGUUGUGAUGAGCUUUCUCAGGAUUUCCAAAGACAUUGCUGAAGUAGGAAUGGUAUGACAUGAGAUCCUCUCCACAAGAUCCAUCCAUGUCAAAACUUCUCUGGUGAAUCAAAUUCCCAUCUUUCAAAAACAAACAAAGCGGUCCAGUUGCUGUGAGAAUUACCAAAAUCUGGACAAGUAAAAGACCUUAGUAAUUUUUGUAUUUCUAUCCUAAAUUAAAUGCAAGUAUUCUAUAUUAUUAAAAUAAAGGCAGCCCGGUGCACUAAAUCUCCCGCUAUGCGCAGGGUCUAGGGAAGGGCCCCACUACAAGGGUGUAUUGGACGCAGCCUUACCUUGCAAUUCUGCCAGAGGCUGUUUCCAAGGCUUGAACCCAUGACCUGCUGGUCACAUGGUAGCAACUUAACCAGUUACUCCAAGACUCCCCCCCCCAAACCCCCCCAACACUAAAUGCAAGUAUUCCACAUAUUGCAGAUAAAUGAUGAGAAAAGGAAGCUUCUGAUAGCACCAAGAAAUUUAUGUACAUGUUCAUCCAACCAUGCCAGCCCGACUGCUGAGCUAUCCGUAGUCCAUCUCCAACAAACUUUUAGCUCAGAUUUCAACAGCUUAGCAACUUGAACUCUUCGAUCCCAAGCAAUUGUAAGCAGAGAAACUUUUUCUGAUGUUUCAAUGGACAUACUUUCUGCUGUAACAAAAACAAUCUUAGCAAGCCAAAAUGCAACAUAUCCAUAGGCAAAUAUCAUACAUACCAAAACUGAAAGAAAUAUGUGAUUCCAUACAUUUCCAAGCAGCAUAGGGCAUUGAACCCUCCCUAACACCAUCCGGACGUGGAAUUUUAGCAUAAACUUUAAAUGUGGGGAUAAAUUUUGCCUGCAAAAGACAGUGAAACAGAAGUCUUAAACCAAGAAUCUGGAAUGAAGGUUAAACUGAUCAUAUACAAGGAGUUUUGGUUUGGGGAGUUUGUGAAAUCCUUCCAGGGCAAUGAAUGUUCUAAAAACUUCAUACCACUAGAGUAGAUUGGUGAGUGCCAAGUAUGAACACACCUUCCUCAAUCAAAGAAGGGCCGCCUCCCUCUUGAGAAGCCACCGUAGCACGUCCAUAACUUUCACCAGAUAUUAGUGGCACAGCACAUAAUGUAGUGCUGUUGCUUUCAUUUAGCCGUUCCUGUUUAAAUGUUAACAAAUAUUAUUCAACCUAGAGAUGCAUGUAUAUUCAUGUCAAUUUUUGGGAAGAAUAUUCAUGUCAAUUGAGAAGCAUAAAAAGGAUAUAUUUACCUGGGACUUUGAAAGGGAGACUAUUUUGAACAAGGAAUACACUGCAAACUGGUCUAAGUUAACUACACCUUUAGUAUCACCACUUAGCACAGUAAAAAACUGUCGAGUAACUUGAGAAUCUUGCCCUAAAUAUAAAAGAUGCACAACUGGAGCUUUAUGUUCAGUGACAACUUUAAGCACAGAGGCCUUUUGCACAUCCCAUACAGUAUAAUGCCCAUCCCCAUAUCCUGCAAAGACCAUAUCCCUUGCUGUUUAAAGCUCAAGCAAGUUACAGGGACAUGAGAUCUAUCUCCUGGUGAUCCAAAUAUCAACAUUUGAAAUAUAUACACAUUUCUGCCAUCAGAAAGUAGAAUAUUUAAUAAUUCAGUCGAAUCUAAAGUUUAAUGCAAGUAACAAGAAAAUAUACAUAAUACAGAUAUAGAGAUUCUACAAUGAGCAAUGAGCAAUUUCCUUUUCAAAAGUGAUUAUACGAAAAGAUAUUUCUUAAAUUGCAAUCAUUUAUGUUCAAAGAGUAGAGAAUGAAUAAUACUUUUUUGAAUAUAACAAUACUUUUUGUUGAAAUCCAAUUCACAAUGUGGUCAAUCACUGUAAUAAAGUACCGGUGCACAAAGAUAAUUAGCACAAAACCUUAGCAUCCAUGUUAUCAGCAUGAUGUGGAGAGUACCUGCUUGGUAUCAUAAGAAUUGAUCCUUUGGAAUCCCCACGGCAAUGUAAUUGAGGUGAACAGCGAGGACCUGUGAAAAUCCAUGCUUAUGCCUGAAAGCUUGAGAUAAAAGGGUUUGGGUGAUGGUAUUGUUGUCAUCUACAUCAAAGUAACCCAAGACAUUAGAACUCCUAUGAACUCCAUCAAGCCUCAUUGGUUGAGCAGAAGCACCCUCUUCCAAGUGCAUAGCCAUGAAAGCCUGCUUCUUUUCAUCUUCCUCAGCCAAUUCUAGGGGCUUCAAGUAAGAGUGGUAAUUUUUCUGAGGCUUUGUACUAUCCCCCAUAUUUCCCCGCUGUACAACUAACUCCUCAAUGAUACUUGCAACAUCACUUAAAGAAUCGGUUUCAUCUCCAUUGGAACUAACCUCUCCUUUAGAUUGAGGAAUUGUAUUCUCAUACUCAUGUUUUGCACCAUCCUUUUUAGUCAAAUCUUCGUCAGAAAGAGAUUCAUAAACUGGAGAAGAGAGUACCUCCUUUGUAGCAGCUUCUUCGCUGCUUUCCGCACUAACAACAUUAUCUUCGCCUCCAAAUAGAGAUUGAACUAGUCUAUCUUCAAUCUCAUCCAACCCAGAGCUAUCAUGAAAAAUUGAGUUUUUUUCAGUUCUACUAGGAGAUUCCACUUCAGUUCCAGUAUAACUUAGAGCUUCCUUCAAGUUACUUUUAAUUGAAAAAUCAUCCAAAACAGAAACAUCAUCUGCAUCAGCAGUAUUCAUAUUGUCCUGACCAACAUCUGCUGUAGAUGCCUCCCUACCAUAAUUAUCUUUAUCAUUUAGUUGAACUUGAGCAGCUUGAAACUGAUCCUUUAUGUUACAUUCUGAGCCAAUAUGCUCAGAACCAAUCUCAUGUGAAAACUCUGAGCGCCCAGAAGUGUCAAGACUUUUGUCAGAAACAUCAGUACCAGUACAGGCUGGAGAAGCUAUGGGAUCAGUUUCAUCACUUUCCAAAGUCCUUUGCAGCACUCCGGAGCUUGCUUUUCUGGAUUUAAUAGCUGCUGCACGAGGUGCAGGAAUGGAUCGCGAUGCAGCGAAAGCUGCAGCCAAGGCAUCUCCUGGUUUUGAAUUUGAUCUGAUGAUCCCACUGAAAAAUGGUAGCAACACACUCUGGCCUGCCUGUGGUGAAGAAAAUUCACUCGAUUGUUUACUACUAAUGGACUCAGCUGUUAUCUCUGUCUGAUGCAACUCUCAUGGCAGCUUUAGAGAUUGAAAAGAAGAGCCUCCCGACCGAUUGUGGCUAUCUAGAUAACUGUGUCCUUGCAAAGCAGAUGGAGAAGACGGAGGAGAAGGCGAAGAAGAGGAGGAGGAGGAGUGAUUGAGGAGAAUUUCAUCAACAGUGCGAUGAUGCAGUAAGUGAUCAUUAUCAUCGUCAUCAACAUGAGAUUCUAAAAUCGAAUCAGGUCAAGCUCCAUGAAAGUUUUCACUGGCUACUACUUUUACCAAUCGCUUUGCAGAAACAGUUAGCUCUUCAACCGUGAAAACAGAGUCCAGGAAAAAUUAGUUUAUGAUCAGGGAAGAUAUAAAUAUACUAAGUACAAGAUCUAGAUGGCUGUUAUAUAUCUAGAGUGUGAAUAACAGAAGGCCUCCAUUCUAUGUUAGGACAUCAUUAGUUAGUAUUUCAGAAACAAAAAGUGUUAAUUAUGUGCAUUACAUAGUUAGUAUUUCAGAAACAAAAAGUGUUAAUUAUGUGCAUUACAUGAACUCUGAAAGCAAAUAAAUUCAGAGGAUCUUUGACUAAGAGUUGCAAAAUCUUAAGUUGCUUCACAGGCAUUAACCCAAUUGCUUCACAGGCAUUAACCCAAUUACAUGUAUAUAUAUAUAUAUAUACAUGUAAAAAUUUUCUAUUUAGUAGCCAUUUAUGUUCACUUUUUUCUUUUUCUUUUAAGUAUUGCGGACGUUUUUACGUAUUUUUUAUUUUAUUUUAUAAUACAAGCUUCCCUUCAACUUCAACAGGUAGAUAUUCUAUAUCAUAGUAUAAUGUUUAUUUUAUUUUUAUUUUUUGAUUAUUGUCUUAUUUUUUAUUUAAAAUAUUAGUAAUUUAAAAUUUGAGAUAGAUUUAAAUUAAAAUUUUCCUAUAGCAACCAUCUAGCAAACAAAUCUCUCGAAUUUCAUAUUUUUCAAAAACUUUCUAUUAUUGUUCAAAAUAUAAAAAUGCAUUGAAUUCAAGUACGAUGGAUAACACACUUAUGUCAUAUUAAAUUUAAUUAAUGAUGUUCAAUAAUAUUAAAAUUUUGCUUAUAAAAUACUAUAAUUAAUAAGUUUUCAAAGGACUGUAUGUCGAACUUUGGCACUAUUAAUUUCUAUAUUUAAAUAUAGAAUUGCACCCGUCCAGCUCAAAUCUUGGGUUCGCCUCUGUUUAGACAUUUGCACAAAACGGAGCCAAGAGUUUACCGAGCAUACAUAGGUUUGUCAAUUGGAGUGUAAACAAUAUAAUAUGGGUGUCAACAUUGGUGAACAAACAAUAUCAUGCAUGUUUGGUAGUUUGUUAGAACAUAAGGCAUUUAUGUAUAAAUUAAUAUAGUUUUUAAUUUGCAUUUUAGAAACUUUCAUAACUAAUUCAUGUAUAAGUUAUGAGCGAAUCAACAUAUCAUUUUAUGCAAGGUAAAAUGUGGAGUAAGUAAUACAGGAUUAAUUGAAUGCUACAUGACUAAUCCUUGCAUAAAAUAAUACAUAGAUCCACUCAUAACUAAUUCAUGUAUUACUAAUAUUUUCAUAACUCUAACCAACUAGCAAACGGUCCUUUAUAGCACUACUAAUAUAAGGAUUAUUAAUACAUGAAUACACAUGGUAAAAGACAAAAUCGCUCUUAAUACACCAAAUCAAUCCAAAGAUAAGAAGCAAUCCCAAUAUAAUUAAUCCUAAUAUUACUAAUGCACACUAUUCAAUACUAUCCUUAUGCGUUGUCAAACGAUCCCAAAGAAACUCUGGGCAACGCCAACCACCUCAAAUGUUUGGUUAAAUGAAGCAUAAGUUGAGAACGAGGCAACAACUAGGCGUGUUCACGGGUCGACUCAAUCGAUUAUUGAUCAAAACCAAAACUAAAUAUAAUAUAUAUAUUCAUCGUUUGAGUUCGGUUAUUAACCAUAUAUGAAAAUAAAAGGAAUAAUUCAUUCAAAAGAAAACAGGAAAACAUUUUGCAGAAAACAUUUUACCACAACCAAACAAGGGAAAAUAAGAAAACAUUUUCCAUCAUACCAAACACACCCAAAGAAGAUCAAGUAAGACAUCUUUUGAUAGUAAAUCUUUUCAAACAAAUCACCUACUGGUAGCUAAGUAAUUGACAUGAUACCAAAAUAAUUCCUUCUUGUGAAAUGAGUAUUAGACAACUAAUAAUGAAGGAUUCAUGUUGUGCUUGAAUUAACACAACAAAAAACUGAGCAUAUUUAAAAAACAAGAAUUAUUAAUGCUAUAGAAGAAGAUCAAGUUUUUAACAAUAGUCAAAUGAUUUCCUCAAUAAAUCUUUACAUACCAAAGACAGAGUAAUCAAAUAAAAGAAAAGGAUCAGGAUUCAAAUAACAUAAGCCAUAGGCAAAUCAGAAAGGCAAGACUCUGUGCCUAAAUUCUCUGAAAACUAUAGCAUCUGAACAAAAAUAAACUAGGAUUAUUACCUUUUUCUGGGCAGCCAACUCGAACAAUGAGUUGACGACGAGACUUCACCACUCACCUUGACUUGAGAACAACAAGAAAAAUAAAAUCUGAGCUAGAAUUCUCACAACUCUAAGGCUGGGGACUGAAGUCCAAAAUUCUAUCUGAGUAAAGAGAAUUUUAGUCCUUUUUUGUCGGGGGAAAAAAACUAUCCACAAAAUAGGGAAACAAAAUUUCAAUUCUUUAGAAAUUUGUGAUGCAAGAUAGGUAAAUUCAAGGGCAUUUUGGGGAUUUACUAAGGAAUUUCAAAUUGAUUUGAAAAUAAAAAAUCCAAAAUAAAUGAAUAAUUAUUGGGAGAACAACCUAGGAGCUUCUAAUCGUACUAGAAUUCAUGCUUAGCACACGUAUAUGUAUGGAGAAAAGGUGAAGACGGAGGGAGCUUGGCUGAUUUGUUUGGUGUUCUGAAGGUUGUCGUUUGAUUGUUGUUGUGUAUCUAUGAAGAAGAUGAAGAGAAUAGGGGGGUGUAUGGUGUGGUUUGGGCCUGAGGUCAGUCAUUAUCAUUGAAAGUGAAUACAGCAACUUGUGUGGGCAGGCCAGAUGGUCUAGCAGUCUACUUAAAAGUCUUUCUUUUUACCCAAUAACUCAAGUUUCGAAACUCAACAGCAACACAUCUUUAUUGCUCCUUCUUUUUCCAAGUACAUAUCUUUAUUGCUCCUCUUUUUUCCAAGUACAUGUUACGCAUCAUAUUGUUGUUUUCUAUGUUUCCCCUUCAAACGUACGUAUAUAUAUAUAUAUAUAUAUACUAGAAUAGUGUACGUGCAUUGCACGUGUAUUAAACUUUUUUUUAGAAUAAGCGUAUGUAGACAAUAUAUUAAUUGUGCAUGUGUUAUUUUAUUAAAUACAAAAACAUUAAGAAAACAACACAAAAUUUUCAAGAUAAAAAAAUGCAGUUGAUUAAAGAGGAAUUUUGUCAGUAAACUUAUUUAUUUUAUACUUUUAAAAUAACGUUAUUUCUAGAAAAAAAUUUUCUAUUCUUAGGCAUUUAUAUAUAUAUGUGUGUGUGUGUGUAUAUAUAUAUAUAUAUAUUACGCAAAAUAUAAUUAUAAUGAAAUGAUUUAUAAAAUAUAAACCAUAUAAAUUAAUUUAAAACAUAAAUCGUAAUAAUUAAUUAAUUUUUAAUUUUAUACUCUUUUAAAAUAUACUUUAUAUAAAUUGAUAAGUAGUGAGUAAAAUUUAUACAAAAUUUUAAAUCUUUAUGCAUUUAAAGAAGCACAUUGAAGAGUGAAAUGGUAAAUGCCCAAACUUACAAAGGCCCAAUAAUUUUAAAAAUAUUAAAAAAAAAUAAAUUGAAAAGUAAACAAAUACAAUAUUAUUUGUUUUUGUCUGAAGUUCAUAAGCUUUCUUUUAAAUUCUUUCUUUUGUCAAACAUUUUCUCUCUUUUUUCACUGUAAAAAUUACAAUAUUUGCACCCUUCUUGGUUUAGAGCUCUAAAGUCUUGAAACUUUGUUAUAAACAACAUUAUAAUCCAACUAAUUGUUCUGGGGUAACCAAUUUUUUUUAUUAAUAAUGCUGAUUAUAAUAGAGUUGAAGAUCUAAUUACCAUUUUCUUGUUAAAAAGUUUGAAUCUUUACUAAAGAAAUGAACACCAUUCACUUUGGCGUCUUGUUUUUUCAAUUUUUUUUGGUAAAAAGUCUCAAUCUUUACUACAGAAAUGAAGAUCCUUUUGAGGUUAAAGCUUGUAACUUUUCUUGUUCUUGAAAUUUGUGCAUUCUUGAUUCUGGGUGUAGAGUGUGAAGAUGAUGAUGCUUCAGUAAUGUUAGUUUUGAAAAAGAGUUUAAACUCACCUCAAGAAAUAGGUUGAUUAGACCCGGAUCCAUGUAAAUGGAAACUAUGUUGGUUGUUCUAACAAACGGGUCAUGAAGAUCCAAAUUGGGAACCAAAACAUUCAAGGUACUCUGCAUCAAGAAUUUUCUUUAUUUUUUGUUCAUCAUUUUGCUUUGCAUGUUUGAUUUAAUUUCUUGUUUUAGGUGCGUUUUGCUUGAUAUUUACAUAUAAUAUGUGUCAGGUUUGCUUAAUAUUGUCAAUUUUGAAUGUCCUGAUAUUUACAUGUCAACUUAGAUACUUGAAUUUGAGGUAUGGAAUAAAAAUGGAAGCAGAUAAAUAGAAAUAUUGUGAUUUUGUUUCUCUUUUCUGGGUUAUUGGACUUGAACUCACCGUUUAAAAUUUAAAAGUCAUAAAGUUGAAGUCCCGAUUCUAUCUUAAACUUUGAACCAUAGAAAUUGGUGAUAAUAUUUUGAAGCCACUAUUAUCAUUUGGGUACCAUUUUGAGAUUAACUUCCCUGUGGAAUGAGUUGAGCAAAUGUGAUGUCACGGGCUGACAGCUACUUUAACUGCAAGCCUUGGUGUUGUUUAACAGUAUGAACUUCAGAGCUUUUCUUAGUGUAAAUGAUUGCCAUUGUAUUCUGGAUUGACCUGAUUAUAAGGAGUUUGACUCGUGAUUCUUGUAAUAUUUUAAUGUAGUGUUAGCUGAUGUACUUCUCUGUCUAUGCUACAUCUUUAAGUCCUCCCCCUCCCCCUUUAAUAAUUCAUUCUUCAGCUUUUAUGUUCAUUUAUGAGAUGGUACAAGUAUGUACUUGAUGGACUUGUAAUUGAUUGAUAAAUUAUUUAGAUUUAGUCAUUCAUUUUUGUUGUUGCAUGACCAUAUUGCUCCUUUUAUUUUGUGAUAUUGUGUAUUUUCAAUGUUCAGUGUUUUUUUACAAUAUAUUACUGACUUGUGAUUAAUUCGAAAAGGGGAGGUCGAAACAUAUCCAUUUAUUUGAAUCUCGUUGGAUGUUUAAAUUUGGUGGUUAGAGUUGUUAUUUUUUUUUGCCAUUUAAAUUAUUUAUGUUCUGAUAUACUUAAUGUGGGAUAUGCUUAGCACCAGACUUUUUUUGGAGUAGGUCAAUCGUUGAUCCCCAACAGUAAGGCUUAUCCUGUUUCUAUUAGGUUCACUCUUUAAUAUGUCUAUUAUUUGGUGAUUUCAAAAUUGACAUGAUAGCUUUCUCAAACAAUCCUACCUAUCUUUCGCUUGCCCAAAUUUCAGUAGUUUUGGUAUUUGCUAGCAAGCAUUAGUGACGGUAGGUAGUCAAAAUGAGACGUUUGACUAUCUUUGCGUGACAGAAUUUCAACUAUGGUAUGGAGCUUGUACUUCUCAUAACAUUUGGUAAGNNNNNNNNNNNNNNNNNNCCUGCUGAAGAUGCGUUGGACGCUCUGUCAAAGCCAACAGUGGAUUUCCCGUCCUUGAUCGUUCAGGCUACAAUCGGUAUUCCUGAAAUUUUUACUGAUGACUACUUAUCUUUAGUUUUUCCCCAAUUGAAAUACUGCAUUUUCUUGUAUGUCUAGAAGUCAUAUGGAAGCAUAUUAUUGAAAUUAAAGUUGGAGAUCAGAGAUAUUUAAUAAACUAAAGGGAUUUUAUUAAUCCAUUUACAUUUGAAUAUCAUAAAUUGUUCCCCUGGUGCUGUUUUCUCUGUCAGUUCUCUAGCACCUCACAGAAUUAUUACUUCUCAUUUUCAGUUGCAAAUUUUAACAUUUGCAGUGCAGAAUAUACUCAUGAUGUAGUAAUACGGUUUCGCUCUUGUGAGCUCUCAUUUUUGUACUUUAACUUGAAAUUUAAACUAUUUCCAAUAGCUAACAGUACAUUUAUUAAUCAGCGGAGGCCUUCCAGAUGUUCAUGAACAGUUCAGAAUACAAUAAUGUAAGUGCGUUUAAUCUAUGGCAGCCCUUCCAAAAUUAGAAUCACUACCGUAAUACAUUAUUUAGAAAGAACUCCAAGGGAAUCACUUUCUAAGCUAUUUGUUCUUUAGCUGAUAAGUUGAGAUUAUCUUUUAGAGAUUUAACAUAUAAGAUUCUUCUGUUUAUAUUUCUGGUUAAGACCUCUUUUAUCGUGUAGGCUAUAGCGUGGCUUGAUUUACUAUCAUUAUUAUAGCAUGCGGAAAUCAUUAGUUUAAUGAUUUUGAAGUUUAAAAGAAGCUUUGAUAUGGCCUAAAUUUCAUGACUUGAUGAUGAUAAAUCUAGUUGUCAAAAUCUGAAUAUUUUUUUUAAUUGAAAGUAGAUGUCCAAAAACAUCUUUCUGUUCAUUUUUCAAUUGAUCCAGUGGGCACAGAGCUUAUGUAGCAAAAAUUUCAUCCCAUCCCUGGAUUCACAGGAAGUGUUGGUUAGUUUUGUAUUAUUUAGUUUUUAUAGCCACUUUGUGGGAAUAUACUGGGUAUGUUGUUGUUCUUCUUCAUUUUUGAUACUCUUCAUUGUUGUUAACACAUGAUGCACCUCAACUUUACUGGUUUGUCCCAAGCGAAUCUCUGGUCUCUGUAUUUGUUGUUAUUUACUUCCUUGUGAUGUUUAUUUGGGUUUUUUGCGGGCUUUGUCUCACAUUUCUAGCAUUCGAUGUGUUCUUUGUUGUUAUAUGUGUUGCCGUGGCAUGUCUCAUUAGAAUUGUUGUUUGUUAUUGUCUACCAUGUAUUAUUGUUAUUUUAUAUGCAGUGGCAGAUCAGGUAUAUGCAUUUUUUAACCUUAAACAUCACAUGAUACAUAUGAAGCUACUUUUUUGGGAUCUAGUGGUAAUUAUCAGCUAAAAAAGAGUCUGUAGGUGAAAGAAAUGGAUCGUGGAAGUAUGUACUGUGAUAUCUUAUUCUUUUGUUUCAUCCCUUUGUGUCUUUUUAUGGUUCUAAUUAGGACCUCUUUUUUGAACUCAUGGUUAAUGUCGAUGCUUGCUUUAUAUGCUAAAAUGUUAUCCUCACCUAUGCCCUCCCUCACCCCUCGAAAUAGAAGAAGAAGAAGAUAUUGCAGUUGUGACUCUGUAGUUUGCUUUUUUCGUAGACAGUACAACAAAAAAACAACAUACCUAGUAAAAUCCCACAAGUGAGAUCUGGGGAGGGUAAAGUGUACGCAGACCUUACCACUACUUCAGGGGGGUAGAGAGGUUGUUUCUGAAAGACCCUUGGCUAAAGUGUUUGUCAUAGACAGUAGAGACCUCUUUUUUUCAAUGGAGUGAUUUGUUGAUAUGCAUCAAGAGGAUGCAACAAGUGCAAAAAAUAGUUAGCUCCUAUAUAUUUAUACCGUCUAAAUUGUGAUGACAGUUAAUAAUUUUUUUUAAAAAAGAUCAAUGUUACUCAAAAAAGUUGAAUUACUCCAGCAAAAAAAGUUGAGAAGAUAUCUAGCUUUAAGGAAGUGUCUGGUAAUUGGGAUUCCAUCAAAACAUCUGUUGUGGUUUCUGUAUGUUCAUUUGCUCCAAAUAUACUUGCAGGCUAAGUUGCUCAGACUUUCCAAAAAAGUUGCGGUACCCUUGUUGGUUCUUUCAAAAUUACACUAUUUUUUGAGGAUCCGGUACGCACACGUCGGCAUGUUUGAAGAGUCCAACCAAUAUAGUUUGCCGGAAGCAUACCUUAGAAACUUGAUGACAACAGUGAAGUAAACAUAAAGUGAGGCGAAACCUCAGCAUUUUUUAGCUCACUUUAGGUUUAGGAGCGCCAUUGAUAAUGCUGGAUUUCAUUACAAUAACUAUGCCUCAAUCUCAAGUAUGUUUGGGUCACCUACAUGAAUCCUCAUUGUCUAGUAUUAUAGUUCCAUUAUCCAAGAAAGCUAUUUAAGGGGUUAGUAUUCCACUGUUGUAGGCGGGUUAUUAAGUAUCCCUUUUAUGACUUGUUAAUGAAAUAGAUAGAUUAUCAUCUUACUGAUACUAAUAUGAGAUGUUAUGCAAGAUGUCACUCUUUAAUGCAAUCUGUCCCCCGAAAUCCUUUUAAAUUUUUAAAACCAAAUGCCAGUACAAACACUAACUUACCCUCUCAACACCCCAAUUGUCCAAAGAAAACACCCAUUCUGAUUAGCUUUGUGAUUUUUCUCCAAUCUCUUUGCUUGUAUGAGUAGUUAUAUAAAUUCCUUUUUUAAGAGGUGGUGCAUUUUAUUUACGGAGAAAGUUAAAUUUAGCUUAGAAAAAGCAUCAUUCAAGUUAUCUGUGACUACUCCAAAGUUAAUGGGGAGUGGGAAAGAGGGGCAAAAUAAUUUUCUCUUAGAAAAUUUGACUGAUAAUAGUAGCUUAUCAAGUGAUUCUCUAGAUACUGCAAUAUGGACAGUAUUUGAACAGAAAAUUUAUUUUGAAUUAAGAAGAGCUCCUUGUUACACCCCCACUCCCUCCUACAGAAGUAUGGAGUAUUAGAAAGCAUUAAAAUUUGAUGAAUUUAAAAGCUCACAUCAUUGGGCCCCUUUUAAUUGGUCUCUAAAAAGAAUGUAAUCUUUCUACCAAACCAUUCAGGAAAAAAGGUAAAAGCGAAUGUUGAGAAAGGUGUUAUUAUGAAAGAAUAUGAUUUUUUAAGUAUUUUUGAUUGGGUAAAAAUGUUUGUAAUCGUGAUGUUUAUAGUGAACAAUGAUUUGUUAAGACGAUUAGGGAUGAUAUUGAUGAUUGUGAUCUAUUCAUUCAUGGGACUAGAGAUGAUGAAUAACUAUCUUGAGGGGAAUGUUAAGUUGAAUUUGCAGUGCAAAGAGUUGAAUGGUGAAAAUUUGAAUGAUGAGAAGAAGAUACAUGUUAUUAUGCAGUAGUAUUAACUUACUGCUCAAAAUAAGUUAAUGAUUCUUUCAAUGGCCAGUCAACCUCGGUUGCAGGUUAAUAUCUUAUUUUCAUCUUUUGUUCCUUCUCGCUGCUUGUAUGGUUAGAACCUAUAGAACACAUAUUUUUUUGUAGGUCUUAGCUGCUAGCAAAAACAAAAUCUCUACACUAAAAGGGUUUCUUUAUUUAUCUUCUUUGAGGUUAGUAAUGAACAUCUAGUUAAUUUCUUAUUAUUGGUAAAUGUGUUUCUAUUUUGUAAAGGAAUGAAUUUAUUGUUGUUAGUAGAGAGAUAAGUUUACUGUUUUUUAUGUCUUUUCUCCAUCUAAUCUAAACUAUAUUAUAGAAGAUUUAAAUUUAAUGUGGGUACCUGAAUCUUCUUCUUGUUCGUCAGAUUGUUGAUUGCAGCAUUUAAAUUUGUUACAAGUGCAACGAUAUAUUUAUUAUGCAUUCAAAUAACUUUAUUAACUUUUGCUUGAUCUAUAUAGAAAAAAUAAUAAAAUUAUUUAUUAACGUGAUAAAAAGUGAUUAAAAAUGAAUUAAAGUAUUAUGCAUCAAUUAGUUUUAAAAGCUACCUUGUGCCAUGUGCUUAACGAAUAAUAACCUGCGAUAUAGAAUAAGCUAUUAAAAAUAUAUUAUAAGUAAGUGAAAAUUGUUAGUGUGUAGCUAGAUGAAGUUAGAGAAAGAUCUAAUAAUCAGUAUUAUUUGUUAUGCCUACAAAAUUUGCUUAGGGUUUAGAAUAGGAAAAAUCACAAAGAAUGAAGAACUACCUAUUAACUAUCGAGACUGAAAAAAAUAUUAACCUAUUCCUAGAGAAAAAAAUGACUAAUCCUUUUCUAUUUUGAUUCUUUUAUGUGACAAUAUGUCAUCAAGGUUUUCAUUUUUUCUGAUCCCGUUGACUAAGUUUUCUGAGGUAAUGUCUUCAUCUACUAUGUCAAUUGUAGCAAUCUUUUUCACUUCUUGGACUUCUUCUGCAAUGAAGCGUCUGUCUGCUCGAUCUCCUUCACUUUUUGCAUCAAUUUUGAUGAGAAAUGUAAAGAAUUUUUGUAUACUUAGCAUCAAGUUAUGAUAAAAUGAGGAUUCCUCUUUCUGUAUCAAUAAAAAGAAUGUAUUAAUUAGCAAAAGAUAAUUUGUUGAAUUCAAAAUAAAGCAAAUUAUUUUAGUGCUUGAUAAGAGUUAAAGAAUAGUGUAAUAUGACCUUUUCCAAAGUUGAUUGAUUAUAAGUUGUAACAACGCAACCAAUCAAGUAUUUUGCAUCCUCAAACAAUGUAACGGAACAACGUUCAUCCCCUGCAAAUACAUUCAAUUUUAGAAGAAAACUGUAAAGUCAGUGAAAAAUAAACAUUUAUCUCAUUUUUUGAAUUUUCAAAUGGCUGAAAGUAAUUUGAUGGUUGUUAUGUGUGUUAUCUGUCCGCACAAGUAAUUUUUUCAGUGGGACAGCAGGACAUUUUGCAAUGUUAUCAUCGAUUUUCACUUUUUUAUAGCAAUUGGUGCAAGAAUCAUAGUAGGAUUCAGCAAUAUUCACUAUGGCUGCGAUAGUUGCGGUAAAUUUGUCAUACUUAACCUACAGAGAAGAAAGAAAAGUUAGGCAUCAUACUAAGGCAAAAACAAAACAUUAAAUUACUGUAGUUGAAAAUCGUACCUCUUUAUCACAAGAUAAACAAUCUGCGAUUUCACCAAUUGUUAUUUCUUUGGCCCUUUUAAUUUGUUUAGUUGGCAGUAAAGUAAUAUCAUUAUAAGUUUUCUUUUGAGAAAUAGACCUGCAUGUUUGUUACUUAGUGUAUUAUAAUAAAAAUAGUCUACUAUAAUUUGUUUGCAUGAAUAUGAAUAGAUAUAUUAUCAUUCUUGGAGAUACGUUGCUUUUUCAAAUGUGGGGUCUACCCACAUACUACUGACAUAGGUAGAAAAUAGGCCAAAAUUUUCUGCAACAUAAAAUGUUAGGAGCAAAAAAAUAACACAAUAUUUAUUGUAAAUGUUGUAAUUGCUAAGAUAGUACCAACCUUGAUAUAAUGUAGUCCUUAAAUCAUAAAAUACCACGACAGAAUUUUUUGCAGAUAACUUUUCUAGCAACGCGGCAUCUAUUUCAGAGAAUUCGCCUCAUAAUGUGAUAGUUUUUCUAUUACACCUUUAUUUUUCAAACAAAGAAAAUAAGAUUAAAUUAGUAAAUUAAUAAGACAGUUUAUGUAUUGUACAAACACUUUCGCUUCGUAAAAAAAUUAAGUUUAGCUUACUCUUCAUUCAUAAGUACUAUUUUUCUUCGGAUUGUGCCUUUUGUGAACAACUUAGAAUUGACAAAGAUGCCAAAUAUAUCUGAUAAAAAUAUUAAGUAUGUAUAAGUAUAUAAAUAAUAUUAAAAUAUUGAAUUUACGACAAUGGUAAUUACUUGAUGAAAGUUAAAGGAAUUACCUACUAUUGUUUCUUUGGUAUGUAAUUUUUCAUUUUCGAAUGAAAUAAAAUUCUUAGAAAAAGAAAAUGUAGAAAAAGGGUUGUGACAUUCUUGAACUAUAGUGGAUGUUAAGAAUUCAAGUUCAAUGUCCUUAUUAACGGAUUGAAAAUUAGGAUUGACCCCAAUAAUGCGACCGUUUAUGAUAUAACAAACUUUGGAUUGCUAUAAAGAAUGUCCAAAUGUUUCAAUAUGUUCAUUGAAAAGUGUACCAUUAAUUUUGGUGCCCUGAAAAAAAAAUAUGUAUUUGUUAAUGUGUGUGAAACUAUCAUGAGGUUACUUUUAGUUACCAGUAAACAACUGCAUAUAAUGAGAGAAUACAGAACGAUCAACUACUAAAGACAAAAAGAAUAACGUGUAUUUAUUUCAUUAAACCUGACAUUAUUUUGUUCCGCUUUUUGUUUGAUUUUUCAAGUGGGAUAAAUUAAUUCAAGAGUAAUUUAAUUAGGAUUUUAGUUACCAGAAAAUAGCUACAUACAAUGAGAGAAUACAGAACGACCAACUACUAAAGGCAAAAAGAAUAAUAUGUAUUUGUUGAUGUGUGUGAAGCUAUCAUGAGGUUAACAAAUCAUCAGCACAAAUAGUUUUAUGUAUGAGAAAUUAUUAAACAUGUGAGGUAUGAAAGAAUAAUAUUACCUCCUCAUCAACUAAUAUCACCAUUUUUCGAGAACCGCCUCCAUUCUUAAGCGGCUUCGUUGGGCCGCUUUCGAUGACCAAGACUUUGAUCAUCUAGAUAUAAUCUCGUGGCUUCAAAGUGUUGAUACUCACAACUUCGGUGAUAGGAUCCAUUAAAUAAUCUUUAAGAAAAUAAAAGUUGGAACGAUAAGAACGUAGAAUUUUAUAAUAGAGGUAAAUUUAUGAGAUGAGAAGAAUUAUACCUAAAUAUGUGAAUCUUCUUGGUAGGUGGGUAGAUAAAGAAGUUAGUUAUGAGCAACAGAAAUUAUAAUAUAUUCUAUUAAAACGACACUUAGAACGUAGAAUUCAUAAUAGAGGUAGAUUUGUGAGAUGAGAAGAAUUAUACCUGAAUAUGUGAGGUGGUUAAAGAAGGUUAGUUGUGAGAAGUAUGAAAUAAAAUAUAUUGAAUUAACAGGUCACAUUAAGCUACACACUAAACUAAAUUAAACUAAGCAAUUUAAGUUGGAAUAACAAGUAAUAUUGUGUUUAAAUUAACAAUAUAAAAAGGAGAGAUAUAACAACCAAAAACCUGGAAAUAAAAUUAUUGAAACUGUGAUGAGAUGAAAAACAAUGAAAUGCGCAGCUGUUUAUAACAAUGAACAAUGAAAAAGUUCAAGCAUUUAUAUAGAAGGACGGAAAAAGUCGUAUGUUUUUGGUUGAAAGAAGCCAAGUAGAAAUCAAAUAGGAUUAAAAAAAUUAUAGUUAAAUUUGGAAAGUAUUUAAUUGUAAACCAAGUAAGAACCAAAUAGGAUUUAAAAAAUGGUAAAAAAAAUUGUAGUUAAAUUUGGAAAGGAUUUAAUUGUAAACUAAGUAAGAACCAAAUAGGAUUUAAAAAAUGAAAAACGUGUGUUUAGCUAAAUCUAGAAAGGUAAAUUUUUAAAAAAAUGGUGGAAGACAAAUUUUACAAAAAAAAAAAACGGCGGAUUUAAUUUGGAAUCAAAUAGGAUUUAAAAAAAAAAAAGGAAAAUAUGUAUCAAAUCUGGUAACCAAGUAGGAACCAAAAAAUGGUGUUUAGCUAAAUUUGGUAAGAAAUUUUUUACAAAAAAACGUGUGUUUUAAUGAAGCAAGGAAAAGAGCUAAAUUUGAGAAGAAGUUAAUUGCAGAAAAAUUUUAUUAUAUUUAUUUUAUGAAAUUUAAUUACAAGGUUUUAGGGUAAAAGACGGUUUUGUCCAAAGCGAACUGUUUUAAUGAAGGGCAAAAAGUUCAAUUCACUUUUCUAAAGGCCUUUACACUUUUAAUAUAUUAUAGAUAUAUAUAUAUGUAAAAAAUUUCUAUUUAGUAGUCAUUUAUUUUUUCUUUUUUUCUUUUAUGUAUUGUGGACGUUUUUACGUAUUUUUUAUUUUCUUUUAUAAUAUAAGCUUCCCUUCAACUUCAAAAGGUAGAUAUUCUAUAUGUCAUACUGUACAAUGUUUAUUUUAUUUUUAUUUUUUGAUUAUUGACUUAUUUUUUAUUUAAAAUAUUAGUAAUUUAAAAUUUGAGAUAGGCUUAAAUUAAAAUUUUUUUGUAGCAACCAUCUAGCAAACAAAUCUCUCGAAUUUCAUAUUUUUCAAAAACUUUCUAUUAUUUUUCAAAAUAUAAAAAUGCAUUGAAUUCAAGUACGAUGGAUAACACACUUAUGUCAUAUUAAAUUUAAUUAAUGAUGUUCAAUAAUAUUAAAAUUUUGCUUAUAAAAUACUAUAAUUAAUAAGUUUUCAAAGGACUGUAUGUCGAACUUUGGCACUAUUAAUUUCUAUAUUUAAAUAUAGAAUUGCACCCGUCAAAUUCAAAUCUUGGGUUCGCCUCUGUUUAGACAUUUGCAUAAAACGGAUCCAAGAGUUUACCGAACGUACGUACGUUUGUCAAUUAGAGUGUAAACAAUAUAAUAUGGGUGUCAACAUUGAUGAACAAAUAAUAUCAUGCAUGUUUGGUAGUUUGUUAGAAGAUAAGGCAUUUAUGUAUAUAUUAAUAUAGUUUUUAAUUUGCAUUUUAGAAACUUUCAUAACUAAUUCAUGUAUAAGUUACGAGCGAAUCAACAUAUCAUUUUAUGCAAGGUAAAAUGUGGAGUAAGUAAUACAGGAUUAAUUGAAUGCUACAUAACUAAUCCUUGCACAAAAUAAUACAUAGAUCCACUCAUAACUAAUUCAUGUAUUAUUAAUAUUUUUAUAACUCUAACCAACUAACAAACGAUCUUUUAUAGCACUACUAAUAUAAGGAUUAUUAAUACAUGAAUACACAUGGUGAAAAACAGAAUCGCCCUUAAUACACCAAAUCAAUCCAAAGAUAAGAAGCAAUCCCAAUAUAAUUAAUCUAAUGUACACUAUUCAAUACUAUCCUUAUGCGCUGUCAAACGAUCCCAAAGAAACUCUGGGCAACGCUAACCACCUCAAAUGUUUGGUUAAAUGAAGCAUAAGUUGAGAACGAGGCAACAACUAGGCGUGUUCACGGGUCGACUCAAUCGAUUAUUGAUCAAAAUAAAAACUAAAUAUAAUCUAUAUAUUAAUCGUUUGAGUUCGGUUAUUAACCAUACUAGAGUAGCAUGGCCCGUGCCAGCACGGGCCCAACAUUAAGAUAUUUUAAUUAUGUACGAUAAGUUAGAUUGAUGUCAAUGUGAAUUAUAAAACAUGGUUACACAAAACAUAUUAACUACUUGAUAGUAUUUUUGAAGGAGCUAAAUUUUUCCACAAAAUAAUCAUGUAUAACUUACUUAUAUAAAUAACAUAAUUUUAUGCAUUUUGAAGUUCAGAUCUUUAAUCAUAUGACUGAAAUUUGUUAUAUUAAGUAUAAAAUAUGAGAUUAAAAUUGAUACAUAAGACUUAACACUUGUUGUAUAAAAUAGAGAACAAUUAUUGAAAAAGAUAAAUGAUUAUCUAGUCAUUGCAUAUUACAUUACAUGUGGGUUGUAACUAAUAGGUUAAAAUUGUAUUGUAUUCCCCCACUAAGCCGACAUAAACAUUCUUUGUUUUUAUUUCUCCUUCUUUUUUAUUUGUCAACUUAUUCUUUGAAGUUAAAAUUAAAUUAAUAUUUUAAAUUUAAAUUUUAAGUGUUUAGAAAAUUAUAUAUAUAAAAAAAUAUAAGUUUUUAAUUUAAGUUAUUUGACUUUGAGAACACAAUAAAACAUACUUCUGUAAAUAUUUUUAUCGAAAUUUGCUUUCGUAUAUGUUCUUUUCAUUGAAACGUAGGAGUCAUUUGUUAGAGCGUAUAAAAACAAUUUUGAAAUAGAAUGUAUUAGUAAUGUUUGCAUUAUUAAUGCUUGUAUUAGUAAUGAUGGUAUUAUUCAUACUAAUAUUAUUUCGUGUUUUGAAAAUUAUAUAUAUAAAAAAACUAUAAGUUUUUAAUUUAAGUUAUUUGACUUUGAGAACACAAUAAAACAUACUUCUGUAAAUAUUUUUAUCGAAAUUUGCUUUCGUAUAUGUUCUUUUCAUUGAAACGUAGGAGUCAUUUGUUAGAGCGUAUAAAAACAAUUUUGAAAUAGAAUGUAUUAGUAAUGUUUGCAUUAUUAAUGCUUGUAUUAGUAAUGAUGGUAUUAUUCAUACUAAUAUUAUUUCUUAUACACUAUUUGAUGUGCUGUAUUAGAACUUGUUUUUUCAAUCUUGAUAUAUUUAAACAAUUUUUUUUAAAAAGGAUUCCGUGUAUAUUCUAAGAUUUAUCCGGGAUCUAGCACAGGUUCAUUAUAUGUUUUUUUUUUGUUUCAGUUAGUGUGACACAAAUAGAAUUUAUAGAUAAUCAACCAUACUUUUAACAUGUAUUUAGAUAAUUUAAGUUGUUAACUACUAUAAUUUAUAAUAUUUUUUAUUUAAUUUUCGAAUAAUAUACUUUAUUUUUCUUGUCCAAACUUUUGUGGUAUUGAUAAACAAUUAUAUUUGUAAAAUAAUUUAAAUUUUAAAUUUUUGUGAGUUAUAAUACUUUUCUUCUAUUAUAAUUAAGUGAUACUAAUAUAAUUUCGAGAGUCAACUGAAUAUUUUAUAUUUUUAAAAAUAAUUUAAGUUGUUAAUUAUUGUGAUUUAUAAUUUUUUUUACAUAUUUUUUUGAAAUAUAUAACAAAUUAAAUUAUUUUUAGAUAUUUUAAAAACUAUUGUAAUUUAUAAUACUUUUUAUGUAAUUUUUGAAUAAUAUAUGUUACUCUUCUUGCCCAGAAUUUUGUGUCGUUGAUAGCCAAUUAUAUUUUUUAGAUAAUUUAAAUUUUUAAUUAUUGUGCUUUAUAAUAUUUCUUUGUUCAAAUUUAAGUGACACAAAGCUUAUAUGGUCAUAAUAAUUAAUUAGGGGUAAUAUAGUAAAAUCGCGAUUGAGUAGCAAAGCAUAAAUGUCUUAAAUGACUUAUAACGACCAAUUAGAAGUAACAUAGUAAAAUUACUACAAAAAUACCCUUGAAAAAAUUUAAGUGGAUCUCAUAUAAGACGUCAAGUUAAUUUAAAACAUCAAGAGUUAAUUUGUCAUUUUUAUAUCUAUUUUACCUUUUUUAUUAANNNNNNNNNNNNNNNNNNNNNNNNNNNNNNNNNNNNNNNNNNNNNNNNNNNNNNNNNNNNNNNNNNNNNNNNNNNNNNNNNNNNNNNNNNNNNNNNNNNNNNNNNNNNNNNNNNNNNNNNNNNNNNNNNNNNNNNNNNNNNNNNNNNNNNNNNNNNNNNNNNNNNNNNNNNNNNNNNNNNNNNNNNNNNNNNNNNNNNNNNNNNNNNNNNNNNNNNNNNNNNNNNNNNNNNNNNNNNNNNNNNNNNNNNNNNNNNNNNNNNNNNNNNNNNNNNNNNNNNNNNNNNNNNNNNNNNNNNNNNNNNNNNNNNNNNNNNNNNNNNNNNNNNNNNNNNNNNNNNNNNNNNNNNNNNNNNNNNNNNNNNNNNNNNNNNNNNNNNNNNNNNNNNNNNNNNNNNNNNNNNNNNNNNNNNNNNNNNNNNNNAAGCAUACAUGUCAUAAAUAUCUAUUUUAUUUUUUAAUAUUAAUUUUUUAACAUAUAAAUUACUUAUAAUAAUUAAUCAGGAGUGAUAUAGGAAUGUUGGUGAAUUUUGAAAAAUCAAGAAAUACUAAUUAUUAGGUUCAUUUAGUUAAAAUCAUAAUUCAAUAGGUUUUAGAUAAAUCGAGAAAAAUAUCAAAUUGAUCAAAUAAGUUAUAUGAGUAAAAUAUAUUUUAUAUAUUAAGUUAUUUUAAAAUGAAAUAUUACAAAUUUUUUCUUUGAGUUUGAGGUGAUUAAAAUAACUACAAUCCAACAAAUAAUUAAUGCUCAAAGUUUUAAUUAAAAAAUAAAUUAACUUAUAGGAAUAGUAUGCUUGAUUCAAUAUGGAUAAUAUGAUUUGCAUAUACAAAAAUAAUCAAUUAUUAUUAUUUCGUAACGAAUUAUAUUUAGCUUUAUAUAAGUAAAAUCUUGUUAGGUAUUUUUCUUUAGUUUCUUUUUGCUGGUAUAUAUUGACUUGACACAAUUUUUUAAAAUAUAUUUAUUAAAAAUUUAUUUUACUAAAUUAGUUUUAUUAAUUUUACACUACAAAUUUAAAUUAGGCAAAUUUGUAUUUCAUGAAACAAAUAAGGAAGAAAGCAAAUUAUAUGUUUGGCAUGAAAUGUAAAUAAAGAACAAAAUGUAUUUAGUUAUAUUUAUCAUAUUAAUUAUUAUAAUAAAUUAUCAUCUUAUUAAUCAAUUUACUUAAAUAUAAUAUAUUUCAAAAAAAAUUAUAUAAGCUAAACAAAAGUAACAUGUAGAUACUCACCUUCAUCCUAAAUACAAUGAUUUGAAAAAAAAAAAAAAUCCUAAAUACAAUGAGAAAAAAAAAAUCCUAAAUACAAUGAGAAAUAUAAUUUUUAUAGAAUAAUUAUAUUUUUUCAAAAAAAAUAUAAAAAAUAGAUGAUAGAUAGAGGGGUCCACCUGUGGAAAGGAACGCAAUGACAUUUAUGGUAAAUUUCUUGAAUGGCAUAUUCUGUAAUUAAUGAGAAAAUAAAGGACUUUAUUUUAGAAUCUUUGAUAGGUCCAUCAAAAAAGGUACGAAAAAUUUCUAAUCUAAGCUUAUAAUUUUCUUUAAAUACCUUAAUACCCUUAACUUUGAAUUUAAUGUCAAAUGGGUGGCAUGUUGAAACCACUCUUUCUAAUAUAUAGAAAAGAAAAGAAAUAUGAAAAUAAAAGGAAUAAUUCAUUCAAAAGAAAAAAAAGAGACAAUUCAUCGUAAAGAAAAACUAAAAUCCUAAUGAGUUGUUUGGUGUGAGGUAUAAAAUAUAAUAAUUUCGGAAUAAAAUAAUUAUUUUAUCAUGCAUUUGGUUGAAGGUAUUAGGUAGUCUUGGAGUUAUUUAUCCCACUGUUUAUAUCAUAUGGGAUAAAUUAUCCCAUAUCCAUGUUGAAAUAACUAUCCCGAAUUAAUUAAUUUCAGAAUAACUCAUUCUCAACUAAAUGACCCGUAAAACUGGGCUUGUUAUUGUAAUUUGAUUUUCACCUAAAACGUGAACACACCUAGCAGUAGCUACACCUGAUAUUCGUCAUCAUUUGACAGCGAAAUCCAAUUUUUCUUGGGGAAAAGGUUCAAACUAGCUUUCGUGGUUUGCAAAAUAACAAUGCUUUCGCCGUUGCAAAAAUACGAAUUUGCAACUAUUUGCCAUGCCAACUCAGGUAACAAAAUCAUUAUAAAACAAAACACUAUAACAGAAAGGUCCAAAAUUAACCCUAUGAUAUGCAAAAUUGUCUACAGGUGCCUAUUUACAACAUGUAAUGGACAUAUUAAUGCAGCAAAAGAGUGUCACUUUUGUAAGAACACGUAGGCGGACCUUCAUUCAUGCAGCAAAAGAGUCACUUUUGUAAGAACACGUAGGCAGACCUUCAUCAGGCUUCAUGCAAGAACACAAGAACUUCCAUGCCACUUGAUAUGUCAUCAGUUGCAUGUCUAGAAGCUGAAUUAGAAGGAAGAUACAUCUGGUUGUUCAUUUUACACGUGAAAACGGGCAAAAGCCAAAAAUUUCUAUCAGGUAAUACAGGUUUCUAUGACGUGCUAAUUUGUUCCCCUGAAUUCUGAAACAUAUCAAGAGAAGAGGAGAAUUGAUGGUAUGACAACAUUGUUGAGUGCCAAAUUAUGUGGAUAGUAGAUGCAGUCCGAACCAGUACAGGCACUAAGCGAUAGACAGGUGGAAGGGUUACUCCUGGGAAUUUCCAUAUCGGCAUUUAAUUUCUUCCCCUUCUAUAAGCCUCUCUACUGCAUCUGAAGGAAGGCCAACUAAUUCCAGGGUCUUCUCCCAGACUUUGUAAGAAGUUUCAACAUUAUGGGCUUCUUCAGAAGCAUUUGUGGGACGACAAUCGUGGGAAAUGUAUGCAC
rnacentral:lncRNA from 1 species